rnacentral:lncRNA from 1 species
CAUACAAAUAUAUAAUUUGAUGGUUUUUGAGAGUUUACGUGCCGGAGUCUCCUUAAUUUUACCCCUCUGUUAAGCCUCUCUCUUUCCUAACUAUAUCUUUGCCUUUUCACCUCUUCAAGAAGCCUUUUCACCUUUCCAAGAUGUAAUAAUUCUUCUCACCUUUCCAAGAGAUCUUUUCAUCUUUCCAAAGAUAAUAAUUCUUCUCUCAUUCCCAAUGAGCCUUUUUACCUUCCCAAGAAACUUUUUUAUCUUCCCAAGAUGUAAUAAUUCUUAUCACUUUCCCAAGAGGCCUUUUCACCUUUCUAAAGGUAAUAUUUCUUCUCACCUUUCCAAGAAGCCUUUUUACCUUCCCAAGAAACUUCUUUACCUUCCCAAAAGAUAAUAAUUGUUCUCUUUGUAUAACUCUCUCUUAUGCAAUGACAUUCUACAUCUUCUUAUAGGCAAUAAUCCUAUACCACACACAAUAAUUACUGAGUUUUUGGAGUUUGGAGAAAGCCAUUUCAAAAGCUUUGCUCAAGUUCUCCUUCUCCUUCUCCUUAAGUUAGCUGUCGUGCUCCUUCCAGCUCCGAUCGAUUCAAAGUGUUGGUCAUGGCUGGCCCAAUCUACAACCACAGCAUUGCGAUCCCGUCCUACGGUCGAUUUAUUUUUUUUAAAUUAAUAUUUUUCCACAUAUUUCACUUGGUUUUUGUUUCCAGUUCAUGGCAAAAUGUCCAACAAAAAUGCUUCAGAAUAUUAUCCCUUUUUUAUAAACUAUAUUUUUUAUUUAAACAGUUAAUUAUUUUCUAGAUGUAUAAAUAUCUAAUUGUUAGUAUAUUUAUUUUAUAUUGAUUUGUAUAAAAAAAGAUUUAUGGAGGAUAAGAGAUGAACUACCUCAUACUUACCUUUGCAUUUAUUAUCCAAAUGUUGAUGAAAUGCGAAUUUUUAUUUGACUGAGAGAUACUUUCCGCUAUAAUAUUUAACUAUCAUUUAUUUAACUACCAUAUAAUUGAUUACUAAUGUGUAGUUUAUGCAAAAUUUUCAAUAAAAUAUAGUUAUUUAAUUUUAUAACGAAAUUUUUUUUUUAGUGUAAACUUUUAAUAUUGAAUUGAUAAAUGUCAUGAUAUUGAGAAGAACAAUAUUAAUAUUUUUUCUAAAUGGAACACACACUAAAUUUUUAAUUUUUAAUUUUUAAUAAUUAUAUAUUAAUUAAUUAAAAUUUUAUUUAUCCGCAGCAAAGCGCGGUUUCUAUACUAGUUAUAAUUUUAUUUUAGUGAAUAUAUUUAAAAUUUAUAAAUAUUAACAUAUAGAUAUUUUAAAUACUAUAAAAUAAAUUUAAUUAAUUAAAUUUUAGUUUUGACAUCUCUAUCGUACAAAUUUACUGGUGUGUAUGAGAUGUAUAUGUACAGUAGGUGCAGUCAACAGUUCCAUUAAAGGCCAAGUGUCCAUUGUGGGGCACUCUCCAUUGUGGAGCAGUCAACAGUUCCAUCCAUUAAUUCAGUGUACCUAGUGCACCAUAGAUCCUAUAAAAAUUUUAUUUUAUUUUAAUGUAUGUGUCUAAAUUUUAUACUUUUUAAUAUAUAAACAUUCAAAAUACUAUAAAAUAAAUUUAAUUAAUUUCAUUUUUGACAUUUUUAUCAUAUAAAUUUGCUAGUUUGUAUGAAAUGUACACAUACACCAGGUGCAAGCAAUAAUUUUCAAUAGAUAGGAGUAUGGUUUUGUGGACAUCUGUCCAUUCCAAUUGGUGCACUCGGUAAACUAUGGACCCAAUAAAAAUAUAAUUUUAUUUUAGUAAAAUAUCAAAAAAUUAUAAAUAUUAACACAUAGACAUUUUAAAUAUUAUAAAAUAAAUUGAAUUAAUUAAAAUUUUGUUUUGGCAUUUUUAUUGUACAAAUUUACUAGUAUAUAUGAGAUGUAUAUGCAUAUUAAGUGCAAUCAAUGAGUUCGACUAACAACUACUUUGAAUUAGGCUCGUCAACUAUUUUAAUUUGAUUAAUUAAUAUUGUGACACCCCAAUAAUCUCACAUCGGAUAGUUAUGGCUAGAUGUGUGGGUAUAUAAGCUUGAUUAGGCUAGACAUAAUAAUCGGGUUUAAGCAUUUUGGGCCAGUGGUUAGGCCCAACGAGUUAUUAUUGUUAGCGGGUCAAGUCGUUACAUUUGGUAUUUAGAGCCAGUUCACCCGCCGGAAGUGUGAAAUGAGUCUUGACUGAGCCAGGGUCGGACAAGUCUCUGUGACACCCCAAUAGUCCUAUCGGAUGGGAAUAUAAUUGCCAUUGGGUUUAGUAGUCCCAACGAGUUCACCAGCCCGAAGUGUGAGAUGGGGGAGUCUGUGACACCCCAAUAGUCCCACAUCGAGUAGUUAUGGCUAGAUGUGUGGUUUGAGUCCAAUAAGUUAUUAUUGCUAGCGGGGUCGGGUCGUUACAGUCUCAUAUCAUUUGGUGAUCUUCGACUGUGUAUGUGUUUAGGGCUGACGAGGACGUCGGGGCUUAAACGGGGGGAGUAUAUGACACCCUAAUAAUCCAACAUCGGAUAGUUAUGGCUAAAUGUGGGGGUAUAUAAGCUUGACUAGGCGAGACAUAAUAACUGCAUUUAAGCAUUUUGUGCCAGUGAUUAGGCCCAACGAGUUAUUAUUGCUAGCAGGUUGGGUCGUUACAAAUAUCUUAUCAACUUUUAAUUGUUUCGAUUUGAGCUAUUUUAUUUUUUCUAAAUUGGUCGGAAGAUUUGCUAGAUUUAACAGUUUCAUUGCCUACCAACCAUUAAACCAAUUGGAGUACUCCUCCACUUUCUGUUAAUUAUCUAUUGUAUCUCAAAAUUUUAGAUUAUUAUAUCUAAUUUCUCUAACAUUCGUGCUUAAUUUUGCUAAAGCUGGGAUUUCUUAUAAAAUUAUGUAUAUAUUCAUAAAUUCUAGAAAAAUAUCAUAAAAUCAGUCAAUUAAAAACUACAAAUCAAGUAACUAUUUUUUAUUUUAUCAUAGUAUUUUCAAUUCUAGAUAUUGUUUGUAUGGGUUGAAAAAAAUUAGUAGAUUAGAGUUAGAAUAAUAAAAAAUAAAAAAAUACAAAAAGAAGAUAUGUAUCUUUUGGACAAACUAGCCUAAAAAAUAAGCAUAUUACGAACCUUCCUUUUUUGUUUUAGAAAAUUUUGAAAGUUUACGGAAUUCUAAAGAUCUAAAUAAAAACUAUCAAAUAUCUAGGAACAAAAUCCAUAAUAAAAUUUUAUAUUUUAGAAUUAAAUAUUAAUAUAAAUAUGUAUCUAAUAUAUAUUUAAUCAUAGUAUGAAUGAGGCUACUAUAUUAUUUAUACUAUAGUUUCGUUUUCGAUCUUAGAGUGUUCAAAUCAACGAUCCACAUCGUCAAAUAUGAUCUAGAAUAUAUGAAGCUCUUAGAAAUAAAAUUUUAAUUUUUUCAACAUCGUUUCGUUAGUAAGUAAAUUAUGUCAAAAUGAAGGCCAAUUUGCAUAAAAAAUCCACUAGUUUUGUGCUUUUGCAAAAAUGGUCCACUUUUUUCGAUUUGUAGAUUCGGACUGGAUUUUCAGAAAACUGACCAAAAUACCCUUAUUACUUUUUCUCUCUCAUCUUUCUCUCUCCUUUUUUUUUUCUCUCGUUCAUUUUUUUUCUCUCGCCGAAGAGGCACCGAAGGCAGAGGCGGAAGCGGAAACGGCCCGUCUCGCCUCUCACCCUUAUGCUCUCGCCCUCGCCCUCGCCUGCGCACUCCCCACCUUCCUCGCCUCCGACCCCGCCGAGGCCGCACCGCGACUCUUUUUUUUUUUUCCUCUCCGACUCUCCUCCACCGUCUUCGACGAUGACGCCUCUCUCGUCCUUCCCCGCCCUUCUUGUCCUCUACCUCUCCCUCCUUCUCUGCCGCCUCUGACGAUGGCGCAUCUUCGCCGACGCCGACACCGUGGAGGUCGUUGCGGCGCUGCAGCCUCGGAGCGGGGGGUCCUUAACGACGUCGUCGCCGGCGCCGUGGCCGUUGGCAGAGGGAUGACAAAAACAAAUUAUAGAAGAAGCAAGAAAAAAAAAUAAAGAUAAAAAAUUAUAGAAAAAGAAAUAUGAAUAUAAAAUUGCACAUUUAAAAUAAAUUGCAUUGUUUUAAAAGAACGUUGCACUAUUAUAGAUAUAAGUUGCACUACUUAAGAUGUAAUAUGCAGCUUUAAGAUAAAAAUUACACUCUUUAAAUAAAAAUUACAUUCUUUGAAAGAUAUUUACACUGUCUCUUCUCUUAUUUCACUCUUUUAGAUGUAAACUGCAUCCAUUAAGAUAAAAGUUAUACUUUUUGAGAGAUAUUUAUACUGUUUCUCGUCUUAUUGCACUCUUUGAGAUGUAAACUGCACCCCUUUAAAAGAUAUUUAUACUGUUUCUUCUUUUGUUGCACUGUUUUUUCUCUUGUUGCAUUAUUUCUCCUCUUGUUAUACUAUUUUUCCUCUUAAACUGCACCUUUUAAAAAAAAUAGUGUAAUAAGAGAAGAAAUAGUGCAACAAGAGAAAACACAGUACCACAAGAGGAGAAACAGUAUAAAUAUCUCUUAAAGGGGUGUAGUUUAUAUCUCAAAGAGUGUAAGAAGAGAAAAAAUAGUGUAAAUAUCUCUCAAAGAGUGCAACUUUCGUUUAAAGAGUGCAACUUUUAUUUUAAUGGAUGCAGUUUACAUAUGAAAGAGUGCAAUAAGAGGAGAAACAGUAUAAAUAUCUCCCAAAGAGUGCAAUUUUUGUUUAAAGAGUGUAAUUUUUAUCUUAAAUCUGCAGUUUAUAUCUUAAGUAGUGCAACAUAUGCCCGUAAUAGUACAACAUUCUUUUAACGGUGCAAUUUUAUUUUUCUCUUUCUUUUUCUAUAAUUUUUUAUCUUUAUUUUUUUUCUUGCUUCUUCUAUAAUUUUUUUUUUGUCACCUCUCUCUGCCAACGGCCACGGCGCCAGUGACGAUGCCACUAAGGACUCCCCGCUCCGAGGCUGCAGCGCCGCAGCGACCUCCACGGUGUCGGCAUUAGCGUCAGCAUCGGCAAAGAUGCGUCGUCGUCGGAGAUAGCAGUGGAGGAGGGAGAGGGAGAGGGAGAGGACGAGAAGGGCGGGGAAGGGCGAGAGAGGCGUCGUCGGAGACGGUGGAGGAGAGUCGGAGAGGGCGCGGCCUCGGCGGGGUCGGAGGCGAGGAAUGUAACAUAUCGAAUCUCCAGGUUGCAAUGCUAACUUUGAUCUGAUUGAUCAAAGUGAGGCUUGAGUUGGUUGUGUGGCGUCCCUGAGUAAUUCUGGAGGUGUGGGAAUGGUUAAUGAUGGGUUUCGGAGGUAUUUAGAUGUCUUCGGUGCUAAUUGGGCGCGAAAAUAGACCUCAGAACACUUCUAGUGUUAUAUUGCAGAUUUGGCACUGAGUAUCGGUACCAAGCCAGGGGAGUACCGGUACCCAGCAGUGUACAGAUUGGGCAGCUCUCAGGUUUGGGUUGCUGCUAGUUUGGUACCGGUACUCCCGCCCGAGUACCGGUACUCAGCCUAGAAAGGACUGAUUUGUAAUAGUUAAUAAGGGUUGUUGUAAGGGGUUUAAUUGCAUUUGUCUGGGUUUGUAUAAAACCCCAUCUCCCACACUUGUUCGUCCCAGACCGAAGGAAGCAAUUCCUUCCUCCUAUUCGUUUCCUUUUUCUUCUCUCUAGCAACCCUAAAGCAAUAGGAUUUGGAGGAGAAUUAAAAGGGGAAAUUAAAUAGAAAAUUGGUAGAUUUAUAGAAGAUGAAGCUCUAGCACAUGGAGAGCUUGAGUAGCUUGGAGUCAAGGUAAGUUUUCUUGCUCCUCUUGGUUAGGGUUUGUUGUAAACUCCCUAAAUAGCUUGGUUUUGGGAUUCUUAGGGUUUGGAGGGUUGAAUUAUUCCAUGAUUUCCUAAGAGAAUUGAGUAUCAUGUUGUUAUGUGGAACCUAAGCAUGAAAAUGGGAUUUUGUAGGAUUGGAGAUCUAGAUUGGAAUUGAUCUCAUGUAAUCCUAAUUGAAGGUAAAACCGACGUGUUGGGAGACUCGGAUCGAAGUUCUGACGAGUCUACAUCGAGUUAUUGAGGAAAAACCUUAUUUCGGCUUCGUUUGUUGCGGAGCGAGCGGAGUGAUCGUUCAUAAAUUGCGGGAGGUGGUUUUCUCGCAUUCCGGCAUCACUUUGAGGUAGGUGGUGCUAUCCGAAGUCAUCGAAUGACCUAUUAUGUCUAUGUUACUUUUAUUGAGCAUACAUGUAUAUAUAGAGAUGAUAUUCAUGCAUUAUAGGGUUGAGAUUGUUAUGUGGUUAAAUAUGAUAUGUGGUCUAAUUGUAUGCUUUGUAAGCAAAAAUACAUGUGGACAAUGGAUAGUAAACAUAGAACCCUAUAGUUGUACGAACAAAUAUUGACUAUGGCAAUAGUUAACAAUUGACAUUGUGAAUAGACGGUAUGAGUGGCACCAAGUUGUGUGAAUGGUAAACAAGGAAAACAAACUUGUGACAUAGUGACAUUAUCAUAAGAUAAAUUGAUUAGCAUCUAGUGUUUACAGGCUAAACAUAGAAUUGUGGCAUUAUAUUCUCUAAUUGAGGAUUGGAUCGUACUCACAAGUAGUCUAAUGCUCGAGGUAGGUCGCUCCACUUUGGGUGGUGAGCUCCGGAAUUGUCAUCAAUUGGGUUGGUAGUGGAAUUCUCCCAAGUAGACGGUUCUGUCGGGUUGUAGUGGAAUCCUCCCCGACAAAAAGGAUUUGGUUGGUGAGUUGUAGUUAACCAAAUGGUUAACCAAGUUAAUUGUGUAAUGGUAAUCAUGGCAUGCAUGCAUAAACUUCAUGAGAAUAUCUAAUGUUUUCCUUCAGCUUUGGUACAUGUAUUGUAGUUGUUAUAGUUUGGUUAUUAUCUAUUUCUUCUUGCCUACAUAUGCCUGAGUAGACCUAGUGGGUGAAUCGGCAACGUCGGCAGCCGAACCCACUGAAAACUUUCAGUAGUUCUCAACCCAGUAACCAUGCAGGUCCUAGCGUGAGCGGGGCGAUUGUGGAUCGCGGCCUGGAUAUCGCGAACUAGCUAGCGGACCUCCAUUGAGUAUAGACACAUACCUUGUACAUUUCAUCUAUUGUUGUUGAUGAAAGAAAAAAUGUAAGGAUAAUUCAUUUCAGAGUUGAUUAUUGUACAUAUUGGAAGAAUGUAUGUAAACAAAAUUAUGAGCUUUGUUUUUGAUUUAAAGUAAUCAAGAUACAUAUAUGGAUGUAAUAAUUAGUUUACUUUCACUUGCUCGUGUUGCUUGCCCUCGUGCAAUUAAGCCAUGUGUAUUGAAAAUUUUUCUGGACAUUUUCUUAUACAUGUUUGGUUGUUGUAGAGCCUUGGGUGAACAGAGGAGGUUCUGUUCGUUCGGCGUCUGUGUACGUACCCAAACAGGCCAAAUUGACGGUCACAGGGCAUGACAAGGAAGGUGAGGGGUGUGCGGGCGAGGGCAAGAGCGAGGGUGAGGGCGAGAGCAUGAGGAUGAGAGGCGAGGCGGGCCGUUUCCACCUCCACCUCCACUGCUUUCUUCGGCGAGAGAAAAAAAAAUAAACGAGAGAAAAGAAGAGGAGAGAGAAAGAGGUGAGAGAAAAAAUAAUAAAAGUAUUUUAGUUGGUUUGUUGAAAAUUCGGACCGAAUCUGCAAAAUUAAAAAAGGUGGCCCAGUUUUGCAAAAGCUCAAAAUUUAUGAAUUUUUUAUACAAAUUGGCCCAAAAUGAAUGGUGAAAAUUGAACAAUCUUUAAAAUUUGAGAAUAGAACUUUUGAAUUUAAGAUCAAGGAUGCUGACUUUGAUUUAGAUAGUUUAAAGUAUUUUCUAUCAAAAUUUGAAUAAAUUUAGAUUCUUCUACAUCGUUAGAUUACAAAUUCGCUAUAGUUGCCAUUGAAAAUUAAUAAGUUUGAAAUAUAAAAUUCUAUUUCUAAAAAUUUUAAAUAUCAUAGAUCAGUUUUAACGGUGUGAAUUGUUGAUUUGAACACCCUAAGAUUGAAAACGACACUAUAGUAUCGCAGUCUCGAUAAUAUAGAUAGUAUAGAAGCCUAGCUCAUAAUAAUAUAUACUAUAUUUUAUAAAUAUAAUUAAGAACAUAUCCAUCCUACUUGCAACAAAGUACGGAUGCAUUGCUAGUUAGUACUAUAUAGGAAUGACAAUUUUUCUACGAACUCGGAUCCCUAAAAGAUUCGCCCCAAAUUAGGCAAAAAUUGAAAUGAUUUUAUUCCUGUGGGGAUGGGUGGAAUAUACUUGUCACGCCCCGGGACCGGCGGAGGCCCUCCCGGUAGCGUGCCCAGACCCGCCAUAUGUCUACACAUAUAAGGCGUCUACAAUAAAAGCGGAAGAAAAGCAAGAAAUAGAACAAAUAAAAGGGAAAUAACCAGCAACUAAUGAUAUCAGAGCAAAUAUAAUUCUAACAUCUACACCAAAGUAAAGAGAUAAGGGUAGACAACAAAGGAAAUCAUAAGCAGUACAAUAUCUGUCUCAAAAGUACAAAAAUGGUGGUCUCUAAUACACUGGUAAAACUCUCAACCUCUCGCAAAAUAAAACACAACGAGAGGUAGACCACCUAGCGAAUCGUCCUCGAGGGAAGCUAGCUCGAAGCAACCCCCUUCCCGCGGUCCCUGGCCUCGCCCUGAGUGGAAGGCUCUGAAAAACAUCGAGAAAAAGAGGGCGUGAGAACUAUAAUUUAUAGUUCCCAGUGGGCAAUUACUGACCUCAGCUCUUGCUCCACUAGGCCCCAAAAACNACAUCGAGAAAAAGAGGGCGUGAGAACUAUAAUUUAUAGUUCCCAGUGGGCAAUUACUGACCUCAGCUCAAUGCACCACUAGGCCCCAAAAGAAAAGGGUAAGUACUAAAGCAGUAAUAAGAGUAAUAGCAACAAUAAUACGAAAGCAUAAAUGAAGUGCUGAACCGCUAUAUCUCAAGUAACAUGAUGUCCAAUGCAUGAAGUAUAAGCCCUAACCAAGCAACCGCGUGUGCUAUGAUGCAACAAUGAAAUCGGUAAGUAUGCUAUAUGCACCAAAGCUAUAUCAUGAGCAUGUCAAAGUAAUCCAACUACUAAACCUAUCUAGUAGUGAUUGUUCAUAUUCAACACCAUGUCGAUUUCCAUUUCCAACUAAGGACCUACCAAGGGUAGUCCAGCUUGUGCCGCCUAAGUGCCUGUGGUAGCCCGACAUUCCUACUCUUGGAAUGUGUCUGUCCCACUCGACCCCGUAGGCUUCUCAAUACCGCACGAGCGAACGUAGUCGCGUAGGCUAACUCCGGAGUGCCGGCUUGUAGGGAGCGACCCUCACAAGCAUGUGCGAAUGAGCACAAAUGGCAAGCAAGCGUAGUCCAAGUCUCAAAUAUCCAAUCCUCAUGUCUCUAACAUGGUAUCAUAACUAGCAUCCCGAAGAUCUAGUCUAAGUCACAAUGUGAGGUUUUAGCAUUUGCCACGCCUAGUGCCCCUUGAUGACACUUAGGCAAUUUGGUGUCCAACUUGUAACCCAAGUUCCUCGAUGGCCCUACUCACUAGGUUCACACAUGUCCCGAGCUCAAUGCCGCUUGAUGACAUUAGCUCUCUAGUUCACAGUACAUUCUAGUUCAAUACCUCUACUCAUGGCAAUUUAUGUCAUUUUCAUGUCCCAGUCGAAAACUUAUGUUAACCCCGUAAUGAAUGACAUAGUCAUUUACUCUCAGUACCAAAGAAAUUCAACGCUCAUAUCAGACAUGCUAAAUCAACCAAGAUCUCCAAGCACUCUCUACUAUCAUAAGAGGUCCCAAAAAUCAUCAUAUAUAAACUUAUGCAUUUAGCAUUUCUAAAAUCAUAAUACAAUGUAUUUUGCAUGAUCAUGUAUAAUAAAUAUGUACAACCACUUAAUCACCAAUAUCGAGGAUUUCUCAAUUAUAUAGGCUAUCGGUCUAAACUCACGACGUCAACGAAGCUUGUCGUAUUGCUCACGGAGGUUUCUACAAUUCUAGCACCCUAUGGGACAUCAAAAGAGGUUCAUCCAAACGAAACGUGAAGAGCCAAAGCUCAACUUAAAGCAUCUAGCAAAGGGCAAAACUUACCUCAAAGAACGAAGUCUCUUCCAUGCCAAAAGAGAGCCUAGAACCCUCUCAUCGUAACUAGAGGAAGGUUUAAUCCAACCAAUGAGCUUCAAAAGCCCUAAAACGAACAAUGCCCAAAAUAAAAAACACUAAAACACCAAUUCUAGGGUAUUCAUCUCAAUGAACCGCUUAAAAUCUAAAACUAGAGGAGGAAGAUCUUCGCCACUUACUCCUUGAAGCCUCAAAGACCAGCUCAAAGUCCUCACAACUCCAAGUAUCUUCCUCAAUCAAACUCCAAAUCCAGUUUCAGCUCCAACAAUGGUGGAAAAUAGCUCCAAAGGGAAAAACGAGAGGAAAAUCCAUCAAAACCAUUGCAAAAUGGGGAUCAAAUCAAAGACUGAUGAGUGUGGGAAGCUCCUUACCUGGUUCUCCCACUAUUUCUCAGCCGGAAAAGCCUGGGCUGUGGUGCUGAUAUUAAAGCCACAAUCGCACAUAUAAGCCCCUGCGAGUCUCAAAGUGCGAAACGCCGCCUGACCGGUACACGGGCCUUGUACCGGCUACAAGGUCCCGAGAAUCCACAACCGGGCUCGGGUUACGCCUGUUCUGCGGCACUGUACCGGUACAGGCCCGAUGGCUGUACCGGUACAACCAUCAACAUUGUACCGGUACAAGACCAUCCUUGUACCGGUACAAGACCUGCGAAAAUGCAAACCCGAGGCUCGGGUUUGCGAGCUCGCGGCUCUGUACCGGUACAAGCACAGCCUUGUACCGGUACAAGCCCGCCAGACAGCCAAUCCGAGAGCUGACCAAAAUCCAAAUUUUUAGAUUUUGGUGCAAGGCUUUGUACCACACUCCUCGGGACACGUGCUAUAGGUCGGAACACAGUCAACGACCUACCAGAAAAUCUGGAAAAACUCUGGACACUGUCCAAACACUCGAACCUCGCAAUUUGCAAAGGUCCAGUGCGUCACAAUACUAGACCUUUGCAAAAUGACAAGAUUGUAGUAUAAGAUGAUGAUUGACACUUCUAUAGAGUGUUGGAUUAAGUUGGUGUUGUUUUGACACAAAAUGAAUGUAGCAACGAACUGAGAAAGUGAAAAUCAGCUUAAGUAGUGUUUCUAUGCAUUUUUCGAUACCCCAAAGUUAUUUAGGGCGCCUAAAAGUAGUGAGUGAGGUAAAGUCAUUCCAAGCUGUAGUUUCAAAUGCUCAGUUGCGUUGUUGUGGAGUCUAAAUGAUUUGGGUGGAGUUUUCGGUUGCUCUAUUUCAUCGUAGCUGAGCCCGAAAGAGGAAGUCGCUAGUUAUGUACGAAUUUGAGUGCCUGAAUGUACUGUGGACGUGUGAAAGACAUGAUAGAGAUAACUGAAUUUCAACGGGAGCGAUGAACAGGUGAGUCAUCUCAUCGAUUAAACGAGGAUUCAGGUGUAGGGUCUGGGUGCCUAAAAGAUUUCGGGCGGCUACAAUAUGUUUAGAGAACCCAUUACAACUACGCACAUGAAUGUCCACGACCAUGAGGUUUUGAAUGCCGAAGGUUGGUUUUGGGUGUUGAAACUUUAUAAGAAACUAAGAUCUUACCUUCUGCCAUGAUUUCGAUUUCAAUACCCGGAUUAUAGAUGACGGUCCUAGCUCGUGGUUCGUCCUCGUUCGUGAUAUGCAAGAAAGCAGGACAUUUCGAGUCUAAUUCCCUUAUCCCUGGAGAUGGAGCCGUCACAAGAAAUUGGAUUAUGAUUAGACCGAGACUCCCAUAUAUUGCAUAUUUAUAUAUAACUUAAUGUAAAAAUGUUAAAUUACGUCCGUCCAUCAAGGACGUGUCCAAAUACAUACUAACCGUUAGAUCUUCCGUAUCUUUAUAAAUCGACUUAAAUAGAUCGAUUGUAUCUUUAUAAAUCGCCUUGAAUAAAUUGCGUUGGCCACAUCCAACACUGGGCGCUUGAAUCUCGACUCUUUUGCACUGGUGGCUGAUUUAUGAGGUUUUAAGGAUUUUUUUUUAAACGUGACUCAUCUAUAAAUAGUCUAGGGGUACAUACUUUUGCUUUUUUUUCUCACUUUCUACUCCCUGAGACAUUGAGCUUCUUCUUCUUAUUCCUUCUUCCUCCUUGGUGAUUGAGUAGGACCACCAUUGGAGGUAAGCUAGAAGGUGACCUCCCUUCUUUGUUGGAGUUUUGGUAGUGAUAUGAGGCCUAUGUAGUUGGAGUAGUGUCACACCCCGAGACCGCUAAUUGGACCUGCUCAGGCACGUGCAACAGACCCACUGAACAAGCAAAGCUUCCCUACCCAUAUGAGGCGGAAUCAUAUACCAACCCGUACAUUCAUAUACGAUAGAGAUAUAUGCGAUGUCAAAAUACAACUACUAUUUUAAACCAUUCAACUUUAACAAUUUUAAAGUUUACAACUACUACAACUAUUUCACAAAAACUAAACUAUAUCGGAGUUUACAUAUUUUGAUCUUUACAAUGAUUGGUUAUCCCAAAAUAAAAGGUAUAUUUAGACUUCUUUCUAGGUCUACUACUCCGUGACACCCUUGCCGUGGCCACACGCCUCACUGCGAUUGCGGGCUCUGAAAAAAAAAGUAAAUAAUAAAGGAGUCAGAACUACAGUUAAUUUUUAAUAAGUACAACCACCUUAACUGGCGCUCUACACUCACUCCGUCUGAAGAAGACAUUGGUAGACAAUUAAUGAAAACAACAAAUAUUUCUACUAAGGAAGUGUGAUAACUUUAGUUACAACUACAAUACCUCGAUAUAUACAAGAUACCACUAUGUUACCGGUUGCAUGUUUACCCAAUUAUCUCAUGUCUCUAACCAUCUAUUUGAUUGGUCCCAUUACACAUACACAUCUUAUGGUGAGCCGAGGAUAUUGUGCUACUCUCCAAUUGGUACACACAUCUCGUGGAAAGCCGAGGGAGAUAGUGCAACUCUCCAAUUGGUACAUACUCACACGUCAUAAAGAGCCAAGGGAUAUUGUACUACUCUCCAAUUUGUACAUAGACACACCUCAUGGAGAGCCUAGGGAGAUUGUACUAUUGUUCAAUUAGUAGGCACGUGGAGUCGAGGGCGAUCGUCUCUCUGAGUACCACAAGUGGAGUCGAGAGGAUCGAUACUUUGAUGCACAGUGGGAGUCGAGGGUGUAGAUUGACCUACCCAAUACAUACGAGGGAGUCGAGGGUGAUCGGCACUCCCUAUUGACCCUUCUGGAAGCACAACAAAACUCUUUUUUAUACCCUAAGUUUAAAUGACUUUUAUAGGGUUAACAACUAUGGCCAAUACACAUCAAUUAUUCUCUUGUUUACAUUUAAUUUAGAGUUCACAUCUCUCCAUGUCACCUUAAUCUAGUUUACAUUUUAUAUCCUAUUUUUAAUUUAUUUAUUUAUUCUUUUUAUAUAUUUAUUUUCAUGCUCGAGUCGUAAGUAUAACAGUUGACCAAUUUGAUAAAACUAAAGGUAUGUGUAAGUUUAUUAUUUUCUCAUUUAUAUAUUUUUUUUAUUUUCUCAGAUAACUUUAUUUUGCAAUUUCACUCUAAUUUUUCUAUAAAGUAUUUUUUAAAAAAAUUUUAUCAUUAUUUUUACUUUUAAUUCAUCUUAAAUUCAUAAAAGAAUGCAAUUUGAAAAUACUUCUGUUUCAUGAUUUCUUUUUUUUGAAGUUAUUGUCACUUAACAAACUUGAAAAAGUAAUAAAAAUAGUUUUAUAAUUUUAAUAGGCAAAAAAAUAUAUUAGUCUUAUAGAUUCUUAUAUAAAUUAACAGUAUCUAUCCAUAUAUUAAAUCGUGGGUUCCUCCCGAAGCCUCCCCGUGUUUGGCGGGAGGCUUCAGUGGGACCCUUUUUUUUUUCCCCGGCUCUCUCUCUCUCUCUUUCCCCACCCACUCCCCGGCUCCCUCUCUCUCUCUCUCUCGCGCGUGCGCGCCGGGGGCGGGUCACGCGCACCNNNNNNNNNNNNNNNNNNNNNNNNNNNNNNNNNNNNNNNNNNNNNNNNNNNNNNNNNNNNNNNNNNNNNNNNNNNNNNNNNNNNNNNNNNNNNNNNNNNNNNNNNNNNNNNNNNNNNNNNNNNNNNNNNNNNNNNNNNNNNNNNNNNNNNNNNNNNNNNNNNNNNNNNNNNNNNNNNNNNNNNNNNNNNNNNNNNNNNNNNNNNNNNNNNNNNNNNNNNNNNNNNNNNNNNNNNNNNNNNNNNNNNNNNNNNNNNNNNNNNNNNNNNNNNNNNNNNNNNNNNNNNNNNNNNNNNNNNNNNNNNNNNNNNNNNNNNNNNNNNNNNNNNNNNNNNNNNNNNNNNNNNNNNNNNNNNNNNNNNNNNNNNNNNNNNNNNNNNNNNNNNNNNNNNNNNNNNNNNNNNNNNNNNNNNNNNNNNNNNNNNNNNNNNNNNNNNNNNNNNNNNNNNNNNNNNNNNNNNNNNNNNNNNNNNNNNNNNNNNNNNNNNNNNNNNNNNNNNNNNNNNNNNNNNNNNNNNNNNNNNNNNNNNNNNNNNNNNNNNNNNNNNNNNNNNNNNNNNNNNNNNNNNNNNNNNNNNNNNNNNNNNNNNNNNNNNNNNNNNNNNNNNNNNNNNNNNNNNNNNNNNNNNNNNNNNNNNNNNNNNNNNNNNNNNNNNNNNNNNNNNNNNNNNNNNNNNNNNNNNNNNNNNNNNNNNNNNNNNNNNNNNNNNNNNNNNNNNNNNNNNNNNNNNNNNNNNNNNNNNNNNNNNNNNNNNNNNNNNNNNNNNNNNNNNNNAAUUUAAAAUUUGAUUUUAAAAUAAAACUUAAAUUUUAAAUCAAAUGUCUCCUUAUUUCGCUGAAAAUCUUUUUAAAAUUGAUAUAAAUUUCCCGCCGCGUUACCCGGGCCUUCACUAGUAUAUAGUAAAGCAAUAGAUAAUGAAUAGGUGGAUAGAUAAUAGAGAGAUUAUUAUAGUUAGUCAAGUUAAAAAUACUUUAUAAUUUUCUACUUCAAUUAGCUAUUAGCCAUUAAUUUUUCCAAUCUCAUUUGCCAAAAAAAAAAAAAAAAAAAAUUCAAACUAUCAAAGUUUAUGGAAUCAAAUAAUCUCUAAUUUAUGUGGAGUAAAUGAACUAUAAAAGAAAAAAGAAAUUUGGGCGCUCUUUCAAACUGCCCUUUUGUUGAGAGAUUUCUGUAUGUUUUUAACCAAUGAGAAGAGCGAAUGAAAAAUUUACUUGUACACUUUAUUCAUCUCCAUUCUAGAGUUUUACAAAAAAUUAAAUAGUUUUUCGUAAAAAGAAUUAAUGUGACAAAUCAGAAAGGUGUAAAAAUAUAUACCCUAUUUUGGGUUGUACUAGACUUAAUUAGUUAAUUCGUAAAUAAUUCGCAAAUUAUUCACAAAUUAUUGAAUAACCAAAUAAAACAGUCCAUAUACUUUUUUUUUCCCAAAUAUUUGAAAUAAUGCAGAAAUUUUUGGGUUUAGAGUUAUUAUUCACGAAUAAUUCACAAUGCUCGAAUUAUUCAACCAAAAAAAAGAGGCCAUAAGCUCGAUUUGUUCAUCCUGAAAAAAAAAAAAAGCUUCGCGUAAAACAAUGCUUGCCUAAAGUCGUCUAAAAUACCUGAUAUUUCAUACCCGAUUUGGACUCUAUUCGGACGCGAUAAAAAAUAGAUAGUAUACGGGUAAAAAUAAUAACCCACUAAAUUUUCGGUAUGGGUCCGUGUAAUUUAUACCCACACCCAACUUGGACCCAAUUGGAACACGACUUUUAGUGGGUAGGGUUUGAAAGAGUUUUUAAGCCCGGAUCCGGACCUAGACCUAGACCCAGUGAAAUACCUGAUAGUACAUAAGAAAAAUUUAAAAUUGAGGGAUUUUCAAUACAACUUAUAAAUGAAGGGUCUCUGUGUAUUUUCAUCCUAGUGAAAAUCUAGUAGCUCUGUUUACUCCUUUUUUAUUUUUUUUUAUUUUACUCUUUAUUUUUUGAACCAUAGCUGCUUACAGUUUGAAUCUUUUUUUGAACGAAUUUUAUUGGACCGGGUGCAAUUAAUUAAAAUACAAGUUUUCAAUAACAAGAGGUUUAUAGUUUAUUCAUAAACUGUUUUAUAGUCUAUAAAAAAUAUAUACAUACGAGUAUCCGUAUCUGAUGUAAACCUGACCCGUAUCCGAUACAUUUCUCGUUCUAAGUGGGCAGCAUUGGAUAAUCACUAUUUAGAUCUGCUCAAAUAGAUCUGAUGGGUAUAGUAUUCAGACCUAGAUCUGAUCCGAAAUUAAAUAAAUAGAAUAUAUAUAUAUAUAUAUAUAUAUAUAUAUAUAUAUAUAUAUAUUUUUUUUUUUUUUUUCUACCAAUUUACUUUUAGGUAUGGAUGCAAUAUAAUAACUAUUCAGGUCCGAGCCGAUGCAUGAACACUUUUGCGCUCGCCCAAAAAAAAAAAAUCCUCUCGCUCAAAUAAAAAAGGGUAAACUUCAAAUACCACCCCCUAUGGUAUCGCACUUUCUCACUUUAGUACUCUACAGUUUAAAGUGUAUCAAAUUAGUAUUAUGUGGUUUUAUUUUUAAUUUUUUGUCAGUUUUUUCGUUAAUAUUUUAUUAAAUUAUAUACAAAAAAAAUUUCAUACCCAUCUAGAUUUAUCGAAUACUCAUUUUAGUAACUUUUAGUUUUAACUUUGUCAUUUGUNAUAAAAUUACGUGAUACUAAAUUGAUCAUGGUUGCUAUUUGAAGCUUUCCCAAUAAAAUAAAAAAAAAAAGCCCUGGUUUCUCACCCGAGUCACCCCAGCCUCCGUCACCCCCCUCCACCCCCGGCCCCCGACCGCGCGCCGCUCGCCAUCGAACCCCCGGCGUGGCCACGCGCCGCUCGCCGUCGAAACCCCCCUCGCAGCGUGCGGCCAGCCAUACAAAAAGUUCGGAACCCUCCCCGCCCCGGGCCGGCCGCGCGACUCUCAUCAUCUGAUUCCGAUUUCCGAGUUCUGGCACGCCCACUUCAUCUGAUACUAAUUCAUAGUUUCUGUGAGCAGAAUUAACAUUUGCUAUUACCCGCUUGUUAAGUUCCAAAUUUUUACCGUCCUAGCUAUGUUGUUUUUUUUUUUUUCCCCUCCCUUCUUAAUAUUGAUUUCUAGUUAUAAGUUAUGAAUUAUGAGUAUUUAUGCUAAUAGUAUGAAUCUAGGGAAAAAUUUUAAUUUAAUUCCCUAGUUUUUUGCUCCGAAUUUUUAAAUGGUAAACGUAUAAUUUUCGUGUAAAUCACGUAUCCAAAUAAUUGACGAAUUUUAUUCAUAUUAUAUCCUUACCGAAUUUUUGCCGAAUCCGAAUUAACUAACUAUGGUACCGGAGAGGGCUUUGUUUUCAUUUAGAAAUUUUAUUUUAUAAAUAAUCUUGUCAAAAUUAUGAAUAUAGAACUGACUCUACAUGUAGACAUAGGCAUCAUGCGAGAUAUUUCAAAUGAACACGGUAAUUCUUUUUCCUUGUUUAGUUAAAUAACAUAAUAAACUAUUCGGAACACGGCCUGUGCCUAUGUGUGCAAAUACAAGAUCGUCUCUGCUUUUAUAGUUUUAAUAGGUUCAUUUAUAAAAUAAAAAGUUUUUAAGCGGGCUAAAUGCAAAAGAAGUUUGGGCUCAAGAGUUGCCGACUUAAAGCCUCUACAAAGUGCAAAACCCUUGGAAGGAUCGAUCAUGGCUUUUCAUUUGUCCUUGUUCGAAAAUUUAUUCGUAGAACCAAAAUCGUAAUCAGUUUGUUCAUCCGGUUCAGUGGUUUGAAUCCAAGUCCCCCAUUUUUCCCUUUGUUUUUUGGUGUUGAAAUCUCCAAUAUGAAUCAUUUUCCCCCCUUUUUAACAGGAAAGAAGAGAUGGUUUUGAUCGAAGAGGAUGGAGAAUCCUUCGAGGAUGCUCUCACUGAUGAGCAGUUGCGCGAGGUAUAAGUUGUGUUAAAUUGUUCAUCUCAUGCAAUUGGCUCUAAAUGCAAUUAAUUAGAGAUUGCUCAGGUUUCUUGGAUCUAACACUAUUUUUUUGGCUUUCACUUUGACAUCAAUGUUGUGCUGGAAUAGUUUUAGCAACAUCCCUUAGGAAAGAGAGAGAGAGGAAAAAAAAAGAAAAUCGUAUGAUAGCGGGGCUUGUGCUAUUAGAUAACGCUUGAGCUUUCUUUAAGAUUCACAAAAUUUGUUAUCUAACUUUUGAGACAGCCAGGAAUUAAGAUUUUGUGGACCAAGAUUUAGGUUUCGCAGAGAAAUAUUCGACCUUGUAUAGUUAGGAAAGGAGUUUGUCGGCGACGCUGUGCUCAAGGAGGAGUGGGACUAGAGGCAGUGGAGAGGAAGGGCUGAGGUGGUGGAGGGGAAGAUUGGGAGCAUAAGUUCUAUGAAAAAUUUCAAUUUGGCCCCCUCACUAAAAACUUAAAAUUUGUAAUAUUUUGAUUUUUUGCUACAAAGGACUUAUAUGAAAUUUUCAGAAGUCAAGGGGGAACCAUGGCCACAGUGAGCCGCUUAAUGGCUCCGUUCCUGUCUAACGUAUCGUAUCCUCCUCUUUGAUUUAGGCUAUUUAUGGAACUUUCCUUUUUUUUUUUUUGGUUUCUAAGGAUUUAGAGUGGACAUGGCAACAAGGAGGGUGGAGCGGUGUUGGGAGUACAGGGAAUUUGGUUUUGGAGUUCACAUGCCAAGGUGGAAAGAAUUAAUACACUUUAUUGUUUUAAGCGGUGUGUAACAUGCUAGUGUGUUUUUAAUGCCAUUAGGGCUAUUCGUCACCACCUAUUCUACUCCAUACUCUAAGACUUAUUUUUCGUUUUAAAUCUAGUACUAGCAUGACUGUCUUUGUUGGAUGAUGAACUUUUUUCUUUAUUGAUUUGAUGAGUUAGGAAGAUCUUAAGGAGUUGAAGAAAAUUUGCCCUUUAAGCUACCUCUCUCAUUAAUAUUGCUUUUCUAUCAUGGAUCUUUGAAGCUUUUAUGGAUAUUCAUAAUGAUAUGCAACUCGGCAGUCUGAAAUUUGCUUCGUGGACUUGAAUUAACAUUACAUUUUUUUUAACCAUAUGAUGCACCUGAGGCCCUUGGGAUCUUAACCUUGUGUAUUGAGCAUAUUGAUCGUACGGAACUUCGAUUGUUAUGAAAUUUAGUUUUAUAACAACUUAUUUUUCGUCUCAAACUUACAUACGGUAGGGAAACAAAAAUGUCCAAUGAUUAAAGCGAGUUCAAGAUGAGUCCAUGAAUGUCCAUAAAUAGUGCUCGUUGCUUGUUGAACGAACUUCUGCUACAUGAAUGUCAUUGAAGUUCUUGAGUAGCUAACUGCUAGAAGAAAAAAGCUGUUCUUAGUGUUUUUGUAUUGACAAUUUUUGUGCACAUGUGUUGGUGAACAUGCAUUAUGCCACUUAUCGCAUAAGCUGUCAGUGUGCUGCUAUUUUCAUAUGAGACUUGUUAGACCAAACUCCCAUCCUCAUCCCUUAAAAAAACGCGUGCUGCUGUGGUUUUGUUGUGGGCCAUCUCGAGAUGGAGGGCUCUCCUUUCGCACUAUAUUAGUCUUAUGCUUAUACCCUCUAAAAACUUAAUUGGAUGGCUUAAUCAGUGUUUGAUGCACUCCAUCUCAAUCCAUGCUUUGAUUACAACCAACCAACCCAUUUUUUGAGAAAGGAAAUUGUACUGAAGAUACUGGUAUAGUGGAGUAGGAAUGAUGGCAUGUUUUUAGAGCCGCUGGUGGUUCCAUAUAGACUCUUGUCAAAUUUAAGGUGCCUUUACAAUUAUUUUCAUGUUCUCAAUCUUUAAUGUCCAAACCAACAGAAAUUAUGGCAAGAAAAAUGUGGUGCUGCUGCUAUAUUUAUUUUGCUCAUUUAUAUUAUCUUCCGAAUAUAUAGAAUUUGAAUGCAUCUUCCUAGUUCCACAAAAUUAUCAAGGCUGCACAUGAAAUCUUUCAACCUGUUAUAUCAAUUCUUCUCCAAUUAUUUGUAAUAAUAGGAGCAUUGAGCCUUUGUAAACUUUUGACCCUUUUUCUUGUUAUGUCAGAAAGCUUUAAAUCAAGCAAAUGAUGCUAAAGCUGAAGGGAACAAACUUUUCUGUGCGGGCAAGUAUGAUGAUGCACUGUCACAAUAUGAAAUUGCUUUACAGAUUGCUUCUGAAGUGCAAUCAUCGGAAGAAAUUAGUUCCAUGUGCCAUGCGAACCGAGCCAUAUGCUUCUCAAAACUAGUAUGUCAAACUUCUUGUUUACUAGGUAUAUUUAGCUCUAUUUUUUGAAUGCUUGUUACUAUUAGUAGUACGACGGUUAACGCUUGUAGAGGUAACUGUCACCAACUGUGCUCAAUAGAGGAGGCUAGAGAUGAUGUUUACACAGCAAUAAACCUUGAUAAUAAUAAAUUUUAUCGGUUAGUUUGACAUUUUAACUUUAUGGAGUUCUUAACUUUAGGAUAGAGAAAUUCUACUCAUGAAAGUGUGUUCGCUUUAUUCUACUGUUCCUUUUUGUUUUCUCUUGUUCAUGCAUGUAACAUCAGAAAUGCCAAGGGACUAUUUGUUGUUGUAGGCUUGUAGAGACUUAAAAGUAUAUCGUCUCAUGCAUCGAGUUUUUGGCUACAUACCUCAUCUGUUUCUUAAAUUGGAUUGAGCCACUCUCGUAGUGACUGCCAACUUAGCCCUGUAAUCCGCAUUUACUAAUGCCAUCUGGCAACAUAUUGCGUGCUAUGCCCAUAGUAUCAUUAGAAAUUUGAUCGACUUCAAUCUAAAGUUAGCACUUGAUCCCAAUUAAUUGUUGGGAUAAGAUUUUAAUGUUUACAGGUUGAAUCUACGUGGGAGUUUAUCAUAGUCAAGACUUAAUUGUUAGCAAAUGCUCAAGUGCCUUAGUGAUUAGAUUUCAAGAAAGUUUUAACUCUUGGUUAUUAUUUCAUUUUCAGACAAAUUUGUGUUUAUUUAACAAUUUCUCGUGUUUCUAACAAUUUCUUUUCAAAGUUUUCAUGAGUUUGCUAAUGAAAGUUAAAAACUAAAUCGAAGAAAAUAUUAGAAUUCAUCAUAACAUGGAAAACCUAGUUAGACAUUAUGGUUUAUUCUCUUGUUAUUAAUUUUUGUUAUGUAGGUUGUCUAGGUUAAAACUGGAAUUGGUAUUUUUGUAAGUUUAGACUUUAGAGAUUGUAUUUGCUCAAAUGUUUAUAUGAACAACUCCUCUAGGCCCUGUUUGGGUACAUGAAUAUUUUGUUCGGUAUAUUUUCUUGAUUUACUCAAAAAUUUGUAUAUUUGAUUGAUAAGAAGUGUGAUCAAAUGUUAAAAUAAAAAAAAUCAUAUUAGGAUUUUUUUAGAAUAAGAUAAAUCACGUCAUCGGUGAAAUAUGCUAUUCUACCUAAUCAUGGGUGGUAAGACCUUUGAAGAAAAUCAUUAUUUACAAUCAUACUAGAAAAUCCUCAUACGGAAUAAGUUAUCCAUCGAUAACUUAUACGGAAUAAGUUAUACGGAAUAAGUUAUCCAUCCAAACAGAGCCUUCAUCAAAACUCAAAAUAGCUACUAGGAGAAACCUGAUACUUUUCUUGGACUAGUGAUUCAUGUUAGAUAUGAUGAUGGGUAUAUUUAGGCCCUUUGGAUGCAUAAUAUUUAAUUCAGCAUAUUCUUUCGAUUUAGGCCAUGUUUGGGUGUUGGAAUAAGUUAUCCUUGAAUAACUUAUGUGGCAUGAACUUUGUCUUGUAUGAUUGGAGGCAAAAAGUUUGAUUUAUGCUCCUUGAAGGGCCUUGUCAUCUAUGCUUUAGUAGGAUAACCUAUCUCACCUAUAAGAUGAUUUAUCUUAUUCCAAAAAAUUGACUAGAAAGUAGAAUAUGUUAUUUCAUUUUAGACAUUUGAUUAUAUUUCUUAUAUACCAAAUACUACAACUUCUUGAGUAAAUCGAAGGUAUAUUCAGAAUGAAAUACUCAUGCAUCCAAAACAAGGCCUUAUUCAAGAAGCAUGUAGUAUUUGGUAGAUGAGGAGUGUGAUCGAAUAUUUAGAAUGGAUAUCAUACUGGACCUUUAAGUCAUUUUUUUGAAAUAAGAUAAAUCACCCCCUACGUGAAAUAUACUUUCUUACUAAGUUAUAGAUUGUAAGACUUUUCAAGGAGCAAAAAUGAAACAAGUUUCAAUCACACAAGAAUAUUUUUAUACAGAAUAAGUUAUCAUUGAAUAUUUUAUUCCGACAUCCAAAUAGAGCCUUAGUUGCUUGGCUGUGCUGAAUUGCGAUAAUAAAUUUGUGAUUAUGGGUCAACUUUGCUCCUCUUUAUGCAGAGGAAGAUCAACCCCCCUUUCUCUCACACAUAGAGUUGUGCAUGUGCAAUACACAAAACAUGUGUGCCACGUGCACACACGCAUAUACACAUGUAUUCACACACACGCAUACACAAAGUUGGGCAAGUGCAAAUAUGCAAACACGUACGCACGUGCGCGUGUGCACACACCUAUAUAUAUAGAGUUGAGCUGAAAUGCUAUUAGUAGUAAAAGGGCUCCGUUUCUGCCGAUUUGUUUUCGAUGAUGGAGCCUCCAAAUCGACGAUCGACAUCGUUGAAUAUGAUCUUAGACCUUUUAAAUUAUCUGGAAAUCAAAUUUCAUACUUUUAUGAUAUUGUUCUCUUGUCUAUCGAGUGGAUACAAAAUUGAACGAUCAAAAAUGAAUAUCUUUUAGAAAGUGAUGAUAGGAGUUUUGUAAUCAAGAUCAAGAGUAUAGAUCUUAUUUUAAAUAGAUUAAAGAAUUUUCUAAUCCAACUCCGGAGGGGUAAUCAAAGGAGCGACUACCCAAAAUGUUUUUAACCAAUAUCUCAUUUUGCAAGAUAUGGUUAUAUGCUCAUGUUCAAACUAAUCAAUAAAUCAUCUCAAUUAAGACUUUUAAUAAGAAGAUGCUACAACUAGUAAGCAGGUAAUAGAGGAAUGAUGAUUCAUAAAAUACUUUGCUCUGUUACUAUACAGCAAGCAUGCUUUGCUCAAGAGAAAUGCCCACUGUCAAGAUAGACAAUAAGCAAUAUCGAUAGAGAUUUAUUAAGCAUGCUAAAUGAACAAUAACGACAAAAUCAUGGAAUCAAAGGAAGCAACUAACAAGCAAGAGUAGAAUUUUAAUCAUCAAUGCUCAAAAUAAUGCUAUUAGACAUAGAGUAAGACCAAACCACUACCAGAGAGCUUCUACCCACCUUAGUUAAGAAAUCCUUACUGGUUUAUACUGUUAGGGUUUCUCGUGGUUCCCCAAAAUAUCCUCUUAGCCUAGGAAUGAGAUAAACUUCUUGAAAGGCUUGGAUUGGAAUUUUAGAGACUCGCAACAACAUAAUUUUAUAUGAACACAAAAGCAUAGUGGGGAGAAAUUGGUAAACAAAAGGAAAAGCGACAAAAGCGCAUAAUGGCAGUGGAAAUAAGACCAAUGGGGUUUAUAUAUAGGUGAUGAGGCAGUGAAGGAGGCGGUUGUGGCUGUGAAAAUGAGGCGGUUUUGGCUGGUUGGAUAAGUUUGAAGGCAUUUUUACGUUGAAGCCUCUCAACUUUUAAAUAAUUAUAGUCUAGACCUAUGUAGCAUAUACGCCUUCUUUUAAAUAUCAAAUUUAGUCCAAAUUUGAUACCUAAGACCCGUAAUCAUCAUCAUAAUUUUUAUUAUAAUUUUUGGAAGAUACUUUUCACAUCCUAUAAUACUGAGCAACACCUGCAAUUAUAUUUAAACCUCAUUUUAAAUCAUUCGGUAUUUAGAUCAUGAUGAAACUUUAAGAACAAUCUCUAAUUCUUUAAGUUUGGAGAUCAUUCAGCCCAUUAAAUAAAUAUUUUUCUGUAGUUACUCUGAUUGGUUGAAUAUAUAGUUAGAACUUUCAAUAAUUACGGAACUCAAUAUUUGGUCUUAGACAAAUUAUAACUAAAUUCUAUUAAGACUUUAAAAUUCUUUUAGGAGUCGUUUCACCUAUAAACUUAUCAUACCAAAACUCAAUUGUUUUAACUAGAGCUUGGUAUUACACUUUGUAUGUGAGAAGCUUUUAGUUGUGUUUUGAGCCUUUGUUAAAAUCGCUUAGGGCCUGUUUGUUUCACUGAAGGUUAAGUUUAGGUUGAAUUGGACUCUUGGUUGAACUAGAGUUUAGAUGAAAAUUUCUUCUCCUCUGUUGUUUGUUUCUGUAGCUAUACAAGUGAAGUUUCCCAAAUUCUGCUACUUGUUUGGCAAGAAGCUAAUGGAACAAAAAUUGAAGUCCCCCUGAUAAAUAAUAAAUUAUAGAAUAAUAAAUAGGAAAAAUAUUAUAAUUGUAUCCCUAUAUAAUUAAAAAAAAUGUAAUUUAAAGCAACUAAAUUAAUUUUUUUCUUACAUAAAUUAUAGUAAUACAAUAAUAAAAUUCUAAAGAAAAAGAGAUGUUAAUACUCAACUAAUCAAUUUUCAUAGCAUUUCAAAUGUGCGAACUAAGUAAAAAAAAAAAAGGACUUAAUUAACCAAUUUUCAUUAUAUUUCAAAAUUUCAAACUAAAGAAAGGAGAAAUUAGUAUUACAAUCAAAUAUAUUCAGAUGAGAGGUGGUAAUACUAUUCGGAAAAUAAGUUUCCUUUUAUAAUAUUUUAUUAUUUUUCCUCUCACUCUUCUUUUCCGUAAUUGACUUAGGUCCACGGUGGGCCAAAGUAGAUUCGUUGUUUUGGACUGAACCUUGGGCUGAAGUCAGUUACGUUGUUUUGUGCUGAAGUUAAUUACGCUGUUUUGGGGAGCCUGAGUUUUGGCUAUAGUUAUAUUACGGUGAACCAAACUGUGGAAGUGGUUGUUUACAGUCGACAACCGAUUCACCCCUCUCUACUUUCGGCAAAACAAACAGGAACCUUUACCGAAAGCAAUACCUUUUCUUGUCUUCUCCAUAGCCAUUUGAAAUUUAAAGAUUUGGUCCAUUAACUUUGCAAGACUUCGAGGAAUAGUGAUUUGUUUAUUGUGCUUUUACAGGGUAAAUAUGAUGAAACAAUAAAGGAAUGCACGAAGGCGCUGGAGUUGAAUCCUCCAUAUUUGAAAGCACUACUUAGGAGGGCAGAAGCACACGAGAAGCUCGAACAUUAUGAAGAAGCUAUUGCUGGUCAGUUUGAACUUCUGCAUAUGUCAGUUGAUUCAUUUGUUUCGAAUCAAUUGGGUCAUUUACUAUGCUCUUUCCUUGCAAAUGACCUGCACUUUAUUUCAUGUGAAAAAUUUUCAAAUAAGUUAUUUGCCAUGGCUCCUUAACUUAACUUGCUAUCAAAUUUUAAUGCAGAUAUGAAAAAAGUAAUCGAGCUAGAACCUUCAAAUGACCAAGCAAGGAAAUCAUUGCAACAUCUUGAGCCAUUAGCAGCUGAAAAGAGAGAGAAGAUGAAGGAGGAGAUGAUCGGUAAAUAAUUAGGCAUAAUUUCUGUUUUACUAUUUUGCGAGGAUAAUAAUUCUCACAAACAAGCUUACAACGCUUAUUGCAUGUGUUCAAUUUUGCACUCGUAAAUGUGGAUAAUCUAACAAUAUUAUUCAAUGUUGCUGCAGAAAAACUGAAAGAGAUGGGGAAUUCAGUUUUGGGGCGAUUCGGAAUGAGCGUCGACAACUUUAAAGCUGUGAAAGACCCAAACACCGGCUCAUACUCUAUCUCAUUUCAACACUAAUUACAUAUAGUAGUCCAGGUACCAUCAAAAAGACCAAAAGGAAAAAAAAAGGGAAAUACCUAUAGAGAACAAGGAAGGUUAAAAAAAAAAGCUGAAACAAAUACAGUGUACCGUACUAGUUGAAUUGUGAAUCGAACUUUUGUUGGAUUGAUAACCUGUUCAUUGUAUCACUCUGUUCAUGGAGCUCCCAUGAUCCUUGUUUUGCUGCAGUUUGGUGUAUAAAUGAUAUAGCAUAUGUAAGGAGCAAGGGAUUGUGUUUUCUUUUUCUUUGACCUUUUAUGUUUUUGAGGAAAGUGAUGCAGUGGGUUAUUGUUUCCAAUAUGUUUUCAAGGAUAAAUUACGCUUUUGGUUCUCGAAAGGUGGGGGUGUGAUACUUCAGUCCUUAAAUUUUAAUUUGUUGUAAUUUUUGACUUAAACUUUUUGAAUUGUUGUUGUUAAGUCUUAUAAUUCAAUUUAGUUGGUUAAAUAUUAGUAGUUUUGUAGAAGCAAUGCGGAAGUGUUGGCUAUUGAUGAUUCGGCAAUGAUUAAACUAAUACAUUACUUUUAUAUACAAUAAUUUAUUAAUAAUUUAUUAAUAUUUAGCGAACAAUGUUGGGACAAUAUGAAAAUUUUGAAUUAAAAAUUAUAACGAAUUAAAGUUUAAGGACCGAAGUGUUGGGUGACCUUUCGUUUUUCUAUGGUAAAUGCUCCUUUACAAUCUAAAUGGGGUGUAUAUCUUAUACCCCAUAGCGAACUGAACACGAGUUGGCUCAUUGAAAUAUCGAGCCGAAAAAUUCAGUUUGUAUUUUGCCCAUUUAAUAAUGACCCAAACAUGAGUUGAUUCACGAAUAGCAAGUUAAAUUAUAAGUCCUAUUAUUAGAUAAAAAGUUGUUUAUAAAAUUACAAAAUUAGAAUUUUAAUCUAAUAACUAAAAUUCUUAAAAUAUAAGUCUCUUUAAAUUGUCCUAAAAUCUAAUAGUAACAAUUUGUAAAUAUAUAUAUUGAGUCCAACUAUGGUGCUUUUAAAAGCACCAAGUACUUGGUGCUUGUAAAUUUUUUACCAUUAGAUAUAACCAUUUGACCAAUUCCAUCCUUUAGAUAACACUAUUCCACCAAUCACCCACUCAACCUCGGGGGAUCACUGUUAUCUUAACCUAGGGGCGUAAUGUGGGCCAUGCCGGCACGACCUACAUUUUUCGAGCCGAAAUAGGCCAAGGACAGCUCGACACGGCCCGGUUUCAAAUCUGGGCCAGGCCAUGUCGGGGUAGUUUUCUCACAUCUCUAGCUUAGCACAGCCCCUGCCCGAUUGGCACGGGUCGGGCUGGGCUAGGGGGGCCCAUUAAUUUUUUAAAGUUUUUUAAAAUACACAAUUUUAAAAUAUAACACACACACACACACACACACACACACACACAUAUAGAGUUUGAUUGGGCUACUAUUGGUAGUAAACUGGUCGGUUUACUAGCGAUUUGUUUUUUAUGAUAGAGCUUUCAAAUCGACGAUCGGUACCGUUGAACAUUAUCUAGACCAUUUAAAUUAUCUAGAAAUCAAAUUUCAUGAUUUUUUGACAUCACUAACUGAACGAUCGAAGGGUCACAAAAUCUAUAAUUUUAAUGGCCGAUAUGGUGCGUUUGCUCGUUUAACGGUAUAGAAGAGUUCAAAUCAACUAAAUUUUGUUAAAAUUUUUUUAAAACUAUUUAAAAUAAGAUCAAGACUCUAGAUCUCAAAUAUAAAAAUUAUAUUAUCAUUUUUUGAAGGAUAUUCAUUUCUAGAUAUUCAUUUUUCUGUUCACUUGAUAGACUAGAGAACAAUAUCGAAAAUGUGUGAAAUUUGAUUUUCAGAUAGUUUAAAUAGUUUAGAUCAUGUUUAAUGGUGCCGAUCAUCAAUUUGGAAGCUCCAUCAUCGAAAAUAAAUCGGUAGUAAACCGAGCCGUUUACUACCGAUAGUAUUCUAGCAAAACUCUCUCUCUCUCUAUACACACACACACACACAUAUAUAAAAUUAAACGAAUAAAAUUUAUUAGAAAAUAAUAAAAAAUUUUAAAAUUUUAUUAAAAAUUAUAAUAUUUUAAAAGGGUUAAUUGCAUGCAGGUCCCUACAAACACGGUGCCGUUUGAGUGUGCGUUCGUCAUCGUAGCAUCGCGAGGAGGCCGGGCGAGGGUGCUAUUCCGCCGUUCUUGACGUUGCGCCGGAUUGGGAUUAGCUUUUGAGGUGGGUUAAACGUCGGUUUAGCUUCUAAGUGCAUUUAUAUAGUUGGCAUGUGUGCAAGGUAGUAUGUUGUAUAUUGUAAUUGCUCAAUUCAUUGAUUUAGUAUAGUUGUUCAUAAAAUCUGAAUUGGAACCUUGUCGUUUGCCUAUGUCUACUAGCACAUGUUGGACUUGGAUUUGACUUAGGAGAAAACCUGCGAUUCGAACUUGUCACGUGCUUAAAUUAUCUAAUUUAGCUCUAGGAGCCGUUGUUAUUUUGUAUCGCCGCAGUAUCAGCGUGGUGGAUAUCCCAGGUAGUUUAGUUUUCUGUUACGCUCGUGCUGUGAUACCGAGUGUAUUUUUACAGUAGCGUUUAGACUGUUCCGGACUGUUCGGUGCCAUCUGGGUUGACGGUGGACCCAUAACGCUGUUUUGGCGUCAGAUUGUGCCGAGGGCACGUGAUCUAUUGGUUGUUAGAUCAGUUGGACUUGAUUUACUUGACUUUGGCUUGUGAGAGCCUGAUUGAGCUCGACAGAGAUACGCUUGAUACUUGGUUGGGUAGCUCCCACGAGUGCCACUCCGGAGACGGGCGUUGUGUGGAGGUAGUUGUAUAGUCGCAACCGGGCGGGACGGGUGUGUCCACAGUCCCAAGGACGGGUAUGCUUACAGUCCCAGUGAGAUUUGGUUAGGAUUGACAUUUACUACAGUUGGUUAGUGUAGAGCAUGAUAGUGUAGUGGCUUGUAGCUGUAGAUUUUCUUCCAGCAUUUCCUACUAUCCUUGCUCCCUUCUGUAGACUUAGUGGGUAGACCGACGUUGUUGAGGGCUGUUCCCACUGAGGAUUACUUGUUUUAACAAUAGUUCUCACGCCCAGUUGUUUUCCUCUUUUGUAGAGUCUGCGGUUCUGACUGCUGCUAUUUCUGAGACUGAUCGUGGCAAGGGCGUUGCGAGCUAGAGCCCUACUAGACGAGUCAUCGAGCUAGAGGCUUCCCAGCUGCAGGUAGUGGUGUUUUUUGUUCAUAUACAUACUUUCGUUGGGUCUCGCUGGUCGAGUUUUGUAUAUCGGAUAUUGUAUGUAUAGUGAACUGUCUUUUUCUACCUGGAUAUCUUUGUCUUCUAGCAGCUCUAUACUACUGGUGGUAGUAUUGUAUGUUUUACAGGUACAACUAUCGCUUCGUAUAUAGAAAAAAUUUCUUUGUAUACGGCGGAUUUGUCGGCAAGCCCGGGGAACGUGAAAUCCGGGGCGUGAUAGAUUAAGUUGGUAUCAGAGCUUAGAAUUAGGUCGUUGGGACCUAGGAAACCUAAGUUGGCAAACCUUAGGAAGGCAAGACGCGAGAGGCGUGAUUUAUCGCGAAAGUCACUGAUUGAUUGUUCUAACUCCUUCUGGAGCGGAGGGAGUGAUUGAAGGAGUUUCUGUUUCGGUCCAGAAAAAUUAUGUUGGUUACAGACGACAUAAUUUUUAGGAGAAACAGGGGGCCGCAUUCUAGACUUUCGUUGAUUGGGUCGAGAGUGUUUGUUUGAUCUAACCCCGUUCUGUUUCUUGCAGCUAUGUACUGUUGCCGAGGUUGACCGUCUACCCAGGAUCAUGCACAGUUGGCUUAGGAUCGUGCUGUACCUCCUGAGAUGCCGGAGCAGGCAGAGACGAGUGCACCCCCUGUUGUGGAGCAGAGGGCCCUACCGGAGGUGGGUGCACCUCCUGAUUUGAGUACACAGUUGGAUGCCUUGACGGAGGUGAUGAGGCGACAGGGAGAGUUGUUGGAGAGGAUGUGUGAGAGGUUAGCUCCGCCCCCGAGUUCAACACCGAGAGCACCAGAGUCAUCAGCUCCACCCUGACUACUCCGGCGGCAGCACUAGCCGUAGUUGUACCCCCGCCAUUGGAAAUUCCUGUGGCACUCGUUGUGCCUGCUAGGGGGCCAGUACAGAUGACAGAGGCCGAGCAGGAGCGGUUGACAGAGAGGCUGGCUCGAUUUCGCCGUUUUGAUCUGCCGAUCUUCGAUGGCAGUUGCACUAAGGUCUGGGUUGUUGAAGGCUGGGUCAGUGCAAUGGAGAAGCUAUUUGAGAAUCUAUUCGUCUCAGAGAGAGAGCAGGUACAUCUGGGAGUCCCCUGUUUGUCAAACGAUGCUCAUGCCUGGUGGAGGAGGAUGAGGCGAGACUAUAGGCUAGUAGCGCUGCAGAUGAAGUGGGACGAGUUCUAUAGAAUGCUGUUCGGGAUGUAUUUUCCCAACAGUGUGAAAUAGAAGCUCGAGGAGGAUCUGAAGAAGAUCCAAUAUGGUGAGCGGACAGUUCAGGAGUACAUUCGGGAGUUUACUCGACUCCUGAACUGUGUGUCGUUCGUGGUCAGGGAUGAGGCGCACCGAGUUUACCUCUUUGAGCAGGGUUUGAGGCCCGAGAUCUUCCGGUUGGUUCAUGAGCAGAGGUUGCGGACCUUGGAUGCGUCGAUGAAGCAGGCUCUUUGGGUUGAGAUAGGUGAUGCCUCCAUUCGGGAGAGGACUCAGACCGUGAGGCAGAAUCAGGACAGGAAGCGCCUCUUUUCAGAUGACGGAGGACCGUCGAGCAGCAGACAUCCGCCGAGGCCUCCACGAUCAUGCUCUCAGGGUCGUGGGUCUUCAGGGCGUCAACGUUCUGGGGGAUCCCGUCAGCAGGGACAGCCAUCGAGGACACCGCAGUGCGUGAUCUGCAGGGGACCCCACUGGCCCCGGCAAUGCUAGCAGAGAGAGGGCAGGUGUUACAGUUGCGGUCAGCCCGGGCAUAUGAGAUUAGCUUGUCCUCGAGCAGCAUCACCAGCACCAUCCACAACAUCUGCACAGCCAGCAUCCCCGCAGUCUUACGGGGCACCGUCGAGUUACCGCCAGCAGGAUAGGGCACCUAUGCCGCGAUAGGGCUGUAGAGUCUUACGGGGCACCGUCGAGUUACCGCCGGCAGGAUAGGGCACCUAUGCCGCGAUAGGGUGAGCGGUUACAGCAAGCUCCAAGUGGCAGGGUCUAUGCAGCCCAGGUGGAGGACCCUACAGCAACCGACCGGGUGGUGGCAGGUAUUAUUUUUGAUUUCUGUCAUUAGAGCUUGUACACUUUUUGAUACCGGUGCAUUGCAUUCCUUUGUUAGCCGAGCAUUUGCAUUGUUGCAUGGUCUAGAGUUAGGGUCAUUGUCACAGGCACGAGAUGUGCAGAUCCCCGAUCAUGUGUUAUAGGUUGCAGAGUGUUGUUGGUUAUGUCUGGUGCAGUUGGAUUUGUGGAUCACGCCCGCAGACCUGUUGGUGUUAGGGCAGCUGCAGCACUUUAACGUUGUGCUCGGUAUGGACUGGNGUGGCAGGUAUUAUUUUUGAUUUCUGUCAUUAGAGCUUGUACACUUUUUGAUACCGGUGCAUUGCAUUCCUUUGUUAGCCGAGCAUUUGCAUUGUGUAGCGAGGACGGUGACGUUUCGCGAGCCAGGCCAGAAGGAGUUCACUUUUAGGGGUUGCAGGAGCACGUUGCUUGCCACUUGGAUUUCUUCCGCGAGGGCUCGACAGCUGAUGAGUAGAGGAUGCAUCGCUUUUUUAGCAGCAGUUGCUGAGGUACCUACGGUGGGGGCCGGGACUCGAGGAUAUUCCUGUAGUCCGCGAGUUUCUGGAUGUAUUUUCUCCUGAGUUGACGACGAUGCCACCGGAGAGGGAGAUUGAGUUCGUGAUUGAUGUAGUUCCUAGAACUGCACCAAUAUCAAAGGUAUCUUAUCGGAUAGCACCGGCGGAGCUGAGAGAACUAAAGGCGCAGCUUCAAGAUCUGAUGGAUAAGGGGUAUGUGAGACCCAGUGUAUCGCCUUGGGGAGUGCUGGUGUUAUUUGUAAAGAAGAAGGAUAGUUCGCUCAGGUUAUGUGUGGAUUACCGGGAGCUGAAUAAGAUGACCAUCAAGAACAAGUAUCCUUUGCCGCGCAUUGAUGAUCUGUUUGAUCAGCUGCAAGGAUCUUGUGUCUUCUCGAAGAUUGAUCUCCAGUCCGGUUACCACCAGCUGCGGGUGAGGGCCGAGGAUGUUCCCAAGAUGGCUUUUCGGACUCGGUACGGGCAUUAUGAGUUCACAGUCAUGCCUUUUAGAUUGACGAAUGCCCCUUCUGCAUUCAUGGAUUUGAUGAACAGAGUGUUCAAGCCGUUAUUGGAUAUAAUUAUAGUAGUCUUCAUCGACGAUAUCUUGAUUUACUCCCGAAGUGAUGCUGAGCACGAAGAGCAUUUGAGGACUGUGCUGCAACUUCUGCGAGAGAAGAAGUUGCAUGCCAAGUUGAAGAAGUGCGAGUUUUGGUUGCGGGAGGUUGCUUUCUUGGGCCAUGUAAUUUCUGCUGAGGGAGUAGCAGUGGACCCGAAGAAGAUCGAUGCUAUUCGGGAUUGGCCUAGACCGACGACGGUGACUGAGGUGAAGAGUUCUCUUGGACUGGCAGGAUAUUACCGUCUGUUUGUAGAAGGCUUUGCGAAGCUUUCCACACCCCUCACUCGAUUGACUCGAAAGGGGAUUCGGUUCAUCUAGAGUGAGGAUUGUCAGAAGAGCUUUGAUGAGUUAAGACAGAGGUUGACGUUAGCUCCUAUCCUUGCCCUUCCUGUGAUGGGGGAAGGAUUUGUGAUCUACAGUGAUGCACCGCACAGCGGGCUAGACUGUGUGCUGAUGCAGCAUGGUAGGGUAAUUGCUUAUGCUUCACGGCAGUUAAAGGAUUACAAGAAAAAUUACCCUACGCAUGACUUAGAGCUUGCCACGGUAGUCUUUGCUUUGAAGUUGUGGUGGCAUUACUUGUAUGGCGAGCAUUGUGAGGUUUUCACCGAUCAUAAAAGUCUCAAGUAUCUGUUCACCCAGAGGGAGCUGAACCUGAGGCAGCGCCGGUGGUUGGAGUUACUGAAGGACUAUGACGUUAGUAUUCAGUAUCAUCCCGGUAAGGUGAAUGUGGUGGUAGAUGCGUUGAGUAGGAAGGCAGUGCAGAGCUUGAGUUUGAUGAUCACACAGCAGAGGCCGUUACUCGAGGAGCUGCAGUGGCUGAGGCUCGAGAUAGUGUUCCCUGGAUCUAUACUGUGAGACUGAUGUCUUUAGUCUUGCAGCCCACUCUGUUGGAUAGGAUCCGAGAGAAACAGAGUGGAGAUCCACACUUGUUGAGGAUUCGAGAGCAGUUAGACAGGGAACAGGCUGAGGGCUUUGUAGUAGACAGUUCGGGAGUACUGCGGUACAGGAACCGACUGUAUGUGCCUAUGAAUUCAGAGAUCCGAGCGGAUAUUUUGAGAGAGGUUCAUUGUACUCCUUAUACGGUUCACUCUGGUGGAACCAAGAUGUAUAAGGACUUGAAGGCACAGUUCUGGUGGAACGGAAUGAAGAGAGAUAUUGGCAGAUUUGUGGCUCAGUGUCUGACUUGUCAACAGGUAAAGGCCGAGCAUCAGGUACCUGCUGGCAAGCUUCAGAGUCUACCAGUGCCCGAGUGGAAAUGGGAGCAGAUCACAAUGGACUUCGUCGUGGGAUUAUCUAGAGAACAUGGUAGUUUCGAUGCUAUUUGGGUGAUAGUGGACAGACUGACUAAGUCUGCUCACUUCCUACGAGUUCAGACCACCUGGUCCAGAGAGAGGCUCGCGCAGCUAUACCUGGAUGAGAUUGUCAGGCUGCAUGGUGUGCCGAUGUCAAUUGUAUCGGACAUGGACACGAGGUUUGUCUCGCAUUUCUGGCGGAGUCUUCAGACCGCCUUGGGUACACAGCUGCAUUUCAGUACGACGUUUCACCCACAGACAGAUGGUCAGUCUGAGAGGUCCAUACAGACUCUAGAGAACAUGCUGAGGGCAUGCGUCCUGGACUUUGGAGGAGGGUGGUAUCGACAUUUGAGACUGGCUGAGUUUGCGUACAACAACAGCUAUCAAAAGAGCAUCCAGAUGGCUCUGUUUGAGGCGUUGUAUGGACGCAGAUGUCGAUCCCCUUUGUUUUGGAGUGAUGUGGGUGAGAGGAAGACGCUAGGGCCUGAAAUCUUGAUAGAGGCUGAGGAAAAGAUGAGAGUUGUUCGACGACACCUUUUGACAGCCCAGAGCCGCCAGAGGAGCUACGCUGAUACCCGGAGACUAGACUUAGAAUUUCAGGUUGGAGAUCUUGUAUUCCUCAAAGUCUCGCCGUCCAGAGGGAUUCACCAAUUUGGAGUGCGUAGAAAGCUUAAUCCACGUUUCGUUGGCCCUUUUGAGGUAUUGGAGCUAGUUGGACCGGUUGCCUACAGGAUUGCUCUACCUCCACGGCUAGCAGGCAUUCACGAUGUAUUCCACGUCUCGGCUUUGAGGAGUUAUGUGUUCGAUCCUUCUCACGUGAUUGACUUCACUCCACUAGAGAUUGGCGAGGAUCUGAGAUACGGGGAGCGACCGUUGCGGAUUCUUGCUCGGGAGACAAAAGAUUUGCGCAAUCGGGUUAUCCCGUAUGUAAAGGUGCAGUAGAGUAAUCACGAGGAGCGGGAGGUGAUUUGGGAGCCUGAGAGAGGGUGAUGAGGGAGUCCUAUCCCUACCUGUUUGAUGCUCAGGGCUGAGGUAUGCGUAAGUUUCGUGGACGAAACUUUUUGUAGUGGGGGAGGAUGUAGUAGCCCUGGAAUACAGCUGUUGAGGCUUGUCGACAGCUCUGGAGAGUGUCGGGACAAGACUGAGUCGCGUUGGUGCGAAUUAGACGCUAAACGGACUCAUUGCGAUGCGAGAGUAGGGUGUGAGCAUUGUAAAAUAGAAAAAGGCUGUUUUCUGCCUGUUGUACCGGUACAACCAUCGAGUUGUAACCGGUACACUUCCUAUGUCGGUACAACCAUCGAGGUGUACCGGUACACUUUGCCAGAACCUGCGCAGCUGCUCUCGGGUUGCCAUUUGUACCGGUACAAAUGCCCGUGUACCGGUACACCUGAGUAGGUAAGGGGCUUUUUGGUAGUUUCUUACCUCGUGGACUUCACCUUUAUCCCUCCUUUUUAUACCAGUGUAGAGAGGAUGAGAGGGAGAAUUUAACGUGUUUUCUUUUCCUCUCUCUCUAGCUUGGUCCGGUGGUGGGGGAGCUCGGUUGGAGUUCGAGUGUCGCCGACGUCGUGCUGCGAUGCCGUUCGAGUGUGCGUUCGUCAUCGUAGCAUUGCGAGGAGGCCGGGCGAGGGUGCGAUUCCGCUGUUCUCAACGUCGCACCGGAUUGGGAUUAGCUUUUGAGGUGGGUUAAACGUUGGUUUAGCUUCUAAGUGCAUUUAUAUAGUCGGCAUGUGUGCGAGGUAGUAUGUUGUAUAUUGUAAUUGCUCAAUUCAUUGAUUUGGUAUAGUUGUUCAUAAAAUCUGAAUUGGAGCCUUGUCGUUUGCCUAUGUCUACUAGCACAUGUUGGACUUGGAUUUGACUUAGGAGAAAACCUGCGAUUCGAACCUGUCACAUGCUUAAACUACCUGAUUUAGCUCUAGGAGCCGUUGUUAUUUUGUAUCGCCGCAGUAUCAGUGUGGUGGAUACCCCAGGUAGUUUAGUUUUCUGUUACGCUCGUGCUGUGAUGCCGAGUGUAUUUUUACAGUAGCGUUCAGACUGUUCCGGACUGUUCGGUGCCGUCUGGAUUGACGGUGGACCCAUAACGCCAUUUUGGCGUCAGAUUGUGCCGAGGGCACGUGACCUGUUGGUUGUUAGACCAGUUGGACUUGAUUUACUUGACUUUAGCUUAUGAGAGCCUGAUUGAGCUCGACAGAGAUACGCCGCAUACUCGGUUGGGUAGCUCCCACGAGUGCCACUCCGGAGACUGGCGUUGUGCUUUUGCGUUGGUGUCGUUCGUGCAGGUUGGACUUGCUCUCCACGCACUGCUUAGUGUGGAGGUAGCUAUAUAGUCGCAACCGGGUGAGACGGGUGUGUUCACAGUCCCAGGGACGAGUAUGCUUACAGUCCCAGUGAGAUUGGGUCAGGAUUGACAUUUACUACAGUUGGUUAGUGUAGAGCAUGAUAGUGUAGUGGCUUGUAGCUGUAGAUUUUCUUCCAGCAUUUCCUACUAUCCUUGCUCCCUUCUGUAGACUUAGCAGGUAGACCGAUGUUGUUGAGGGCGGUUCCCACUGAGGACUACUUAUUUUUACAGUAGUUCUCACGCCCAGUUGUUAUCCUCUUUUGUAGAGCCUAUGGUUCUGGCUGCUGCUAUUUCUGAGACUGAUCGUGGCAAGAGCGUUACGAGCUAGAGCCCUGCUAGACGAGUCAUCGAGCUAGAGGCUUCCCAGCUGCAGGUAGUGGUGGUUUUUAUUUAUAUACAUACUUUUGUUGGGUCUCGCUGGUCGAGUUUUGUAUAUCAGAUAUUGUAUGUAUAGUGAACUGUCUUUUUCUACCUGGAUAUCUUUGUCUUCUAGCAGCUCUAUACUGUUGGUCAUAGUAUUGUAUGUUUUACAGGUGCAGCUAUCGCUUCGUAUACAGGAAAAUUUUUUUUGUAUAUGGCGGAUUUGUCGGCAGGCCCGAAGAACAUGAAAUCCAGGGCAUGACAGCCGCCGUCGCCCGCUCCGGCAGCCUGAAUAGAAAGAGAAAGGGGAAAAAGGACAUUUGUGAGGGCAUUUUUGCAGACAUAUACCAGUUGGAGCUUUUGGAGGCACAUAUUUGUGAGGGCAAAAAUAUCAUUUCACGAAUCUACUAUUAAAAAAUAAACAAUUCUCUAAUGGGUGUUAACCAGAGGGACAAAUCUGAAUACAUUACGACGUUUGUAGGGAUAACUUAUGAAAGUUGAACUUUGUAGGGAUAUAUUUGCAAUUCACCAUAUUUGCGGGAACCUGUAUGCAAUUAACCAUAUUUUAAAAUAUAAAAAAUUUUGGACCAAAAUGCCCUCCCAAUAAUCAAAUUUUUUUUACUGUUAGUAGGGCAAUUUGGUCCAAAAAGGAUAAAAUUAUUUCUCUUUCGAGGUCUGAUACCUUGGGAGAGGCUUAAGAUUGUGGCCGACCUUGGGAACAGCCCAAGGUCUGCCUCAAAGCAUACCUUGGGAGAAGGGGAAGCCCUUCUCCCUUCUCCCUUCUCCCAAGGUCAGCCCGAAUGCGCCAAACUCUAAGGCUUGACAAGCUAGUCUAGGGCCUUGGGGGUCGGGCCGUGCCAGGCCCCAUGUCCAACUAUUGGCCUGGCACGGCCCAAAUCUGUUGCGCGCCUUGUUGUGCAGGGUCGAUGGGCCAAAAAGUUUUGGCCCGGCACGGCCCAAUAUAGGAGGUCGGGCUAACACGACACGGUAUCUAUAGUAUCCGUGCCGGACAGCGGUCCUGUCCACUCUCGUGCCAGGCCGAGCAGUCCGCGGGCCAUCCGGCCCGUUUGACACCCCUAUCUUAACCCUACAAAUCUUCGUCUAAAAGUUGAAAAGCUACAAGUAUUAAUAACUUGGUGCUUUAAAAAGCACCAAGUUAUUGGAGAGUUUAGUAACUUGGUGCAGUUAUUUGUAUUCGAGAGUCUAGUAAUAAUAAAAAAAUCUCUUGGCUGUGAUGUCUCGCUUUCUAGAGGGUCACCCAUCCUAGGACUACUCUAUCCCUAACACACUUAACUCUUUUAAUCUCUUGGGUCUAGCCACCGCCUAAAAUACUAUAGCUGGGUUAAGAGUUUUAACCCUAUUAUAUCUCAUAUAGAAGACUAUGUGACGUCUCACAUUCUCCCUGUCUUUAAGCCAUGACGUCUUCGUCAAGUUUAAACUCAUAAGUACCAAGCGAUGUGAGAUUUGUCUCGUUAGUUUUAAUCGACCUUGUGUGGAAGCCAACGCUUAACUCACAAUAGUUAAUAGUAUGAGAUUCUCACUUUUUCCGCUGUAUAAUUCUGGAUCAGCCGAGACUCAUUUUAUACUUUUGGCUUGUAAUUUGCUCUGAUACCAACUGUGACACCCCACUUCUUAGAGGGUCACCGAUUCUAGAACCUCUCUAGUCCUAGUACGCUUAACUCUUUUAACUUUUUGAAUCUAAGUACCGCCCAAAAUACUAUAACCAGAUUAAGAGUUUUAUCCCUAUUAUAUCUCAUAUAUGGGACUAUUUGAAAUUUCAGAGUGGCUUCAGCACCGAAAAAAUAAAAUAUGAUUUAAGAUCUUGCUUUAAUAAGUAGCUCUAAUUAACUUGGAGCUUAAGGUACUACUUCUCUAGUGAAAAGUUGAUGGAGAGAAUUUAGUAAAGUGCUUUUCGUAAUCGCAGUUGCCAAAUAACACCUUAUCAAACAGGCACUUUAGUUUGUGACACAUUAAUUUUUUGAGUGGUCCUUUUGUAGAUGAUAUGGUAGCGAAUCUUUGUCCGGAUUAGCGCACUGUUACGUUUUUAGAAUUAAAGAACAAAAAGAAAAGGAACAAAUUAAGAAGGACUCUCAACUUGCAAUAUAAUAAGAUAUUCCAAUAAGAGUACAAACCCUACUAUAAGUUUAAAUAAUUGAUUGCCCGGGAACAAAGUUCAUGAGCCACCAACCAUUUAAUUUAUUUACUGUCUCAUAUAUAUAUAUAUGUAGUCAUACAAAUGAUAUUCUCCUCAAUGAUCUCUCCAUAUAUAGACCUAGCUAUGAGCAACAUAUAUAAUCCCUUAAUAUGUUGUAGAUUGCAAAAUUAUUAAUUUUCUUUUUUUUUUUAUUAUGCUGCGGUGACGGCAAUCUUCAUGCCAGAUUGGCAGUGGCCGGCGAAGCUGCAGAUGAAGUAGUUCGUUCCUCUUGCCAGUGUGAUACUGUCGCUGCCCGAGGUGUAGGUUUUGGAGCCUCGCGGCACCUUGCAGCUCUUGUAGCCCGCCGCGUUCACCGCAACAACGUUGUGUACCGACGGAUUGUACUUGAACACUGGGGCAAUCAUAACAAGUCAACAGUUACAAACGAGUUAAAAUUUGCGGGAUCAACGAGACGAGACGAGAUGAGAUGCAUAUGGAAUUGACAUGUGAAAUAACAAACACUAGGAUUUGAUCUAUUAAAUGUGCAUUAUUAAAGAUUAAAUCCAUAACCUUACAGAACUGAGUAGCGUAACCAAAAUGUUUCAAGAGCGCAAUUGUUAGAUAAGAAGCUAAGGGGAUAAAACUCACUAAGCACAUCGCCUGCCUUGAAGCGCUUUCCGCUUGGCCAGCCACCGGAGCUGAAGGUCCACCCACCGCUGUCUCCGACGGUGUACGUCGUCGCCGACUCGGCGAGCUCACCAUGCAUAACAAAGCAUAGCAUAACCAACAAGCCAAAAGCCACAACUUGGCUUGCACUACCACUUCCCAUGGCCAUGUGUGUAGCUCUUUACACUCAAUAUAGCAAAAGCAAAUUGAGAAGAUGAGUAAUUGAGAUUGUGUACAUUGAACCCUAGAGAGAAGGGUGGUAUUUAUAAGCAUGAGAGUGGAGGGAAAGUGAGUGGGGGUAGGGGAAAAAACUAAAUAAAUGGGUCCACUAAAGUGCUUUUUGGAAAAUAUAUGCCCUAAUUAGGGUUUACAUUACUUUAACUUGGUCAUUGAAAAGUUUGGCUAAUUGAAAUUGGCCAACCACCCACAAUGACAAAAAUUAAGGACCCAGGGUUAGUUGAUGAGAGAACUUUUAGUGUAUAUAAUAUAAAUAGUGAGUUCUUGUGUGUGAGACAUGUAAAGAGACAAUUUUAGUACAAGUAUUAGUUCAAUAUUGGGAGAGGUUUAAUUUUAGGGGUAUCAAUCAAUUGGGUGUGUUAUGUAUAUAUUGCUAUUAGAAUAAGACAUGUAAUUAAUUAAUUAACUGACCAUGCUUAAUUUCCCAAAUUUAGAGCUAUAACUAGUUCAUUUAUUUUGUUCUUUGAAAAUUUUAGGAAUGAACUGAGUUAGGAUUUAGAAUUUGGACUACUUCAUCCUUAAAACAAUUGGAAUCAAAAUUACUUAUUUAAUUAGGAAGGAAUUAAUGAAGUCUCAAAUUCUCCUCACCAUUCAUUCAAAGUUUGAAAUGCUAUAAAUUUUAUUAUAUAUAUGAACAAUCUAUUUAUUUUAAUCAAUUAUAAUUUUUAAUUAACUUUGUUAAACGCUGUCACCUUGUCAGCAUCACGCAGUAAAGGAAAAAAAGAAAAAAAAAAGAAAAGAAAAAUAUUUCUCCGGAACUUCGACUAGAUUGUAAAUCACCACCAAUUAGUUUUAGACAAUCAAAGGGGUUCAGCAUUUUUUCCUCUAACAUGAUGAUAAUUACAUGUCAACAAAGUUUGAAAAACUAAGAUUGACUAGUAGAUUGCACCUAAUUAAAGGUGAUUUUUAGUCAAACCAAAAUCCUCAGGUAUAUAUGGAAUCAUUAAUUAAUUCCAUCAUCUAUCUUAGCUUAAAGCGCCAGCAUAUUCGGUUUUGUGGUAGGAGAUUAAGUUAAGCUGAGUUAUGUUCAGAAUAGCGAGAGGUCGGGUUGGGCGAGUCAUAUUCAAAGGGGUGUGAGGCUGGUUGAGCAAAACCACAAUCGAGACCCGUAGACGCUAUGUCUGCACAUUUUAAGUUAAUUGAUUAUGUAUUUCUAAUAGCUAGAGUUUUUAGGACUAAUGAUUAGCGUCAACAAUCAGAUAAUCUACUUUUGUAUUUUUAUUAAUUUAUUUUGAUCAUUAAGUAAAUAGCUUCAAAAAUUAUGAAAUUUUACUUUGAAAAACUUCAAAUGCAUUAAACCCUAAUAAUGUCAGUAAUCAAUUUUUGUGCAUUAUUUCCAAAUUUACUAUUCAAAGCAUUCAUUUAGUCAAAGACCCACUACAUUUAUCACAAAGAUUAACUCAAUACAUUUGUAUAUUUACAAAGACAUAUAUAUAUAUUCUCACUAAAUUAAAUAGUUGCAAGUACUUUAUUACAUUAAUAGCAAUUCUCAUGCACCCAAAAUGCCCUAUAAAAAGGAGGACAAUAUCCUAUAAUGUGAACUAAAUAACUAGAGUUAAAAAAAAAAAAAAACUACAUAAAUAAUUUCCUAUAGUUUUAGUGCAAGAGGGGGAAAAAAGAAAAAAUAAAAAUAAAAAUGGGUGGGGUAAAGGGUGGUGUGACUCAAUCAUGGUGUGUUGGGUUAGGAUUAAUGCUUUGUUUUUGUUUCCUAAUUAAUCAACUUGAUGUGGUUGAGUCAACCACUUACAAUGUUGGGGAUAAUCUUGGUUGGGGUUUUAAUGUGAGUGCUUGGCCCAGUGGUAAAUCAUUCAAAGCAGGAGAUGAGCUUGGUGAGUAUAUCAAUUUUUUUUUCUUUUUUUUUUUGUUUUUUGGUUUUUUUUUUUUUUUUUUUUUUUUUUUAUUAUUUCUCUUCCCUUUUCGGCGAACUCGUGUGCGUCCGCGNCGUUGUAGAACUUUUUAAAUUUCAAACAGGACAUUAAAUCUAACAUCUAAAUUAUAUAACCACUAGCUAGUUUUUUUUUUUUUUUUUUUUUUUUUUUUUUUUUUUUUUUGCUUGGGUAAAUUACAUUUUUAGUUUUCAAAUUACAAGAACUAAAGCAAACUCUUUAAAGUAUUUAGAAUCUAAAAUAUAAAAUUUAAAAGUUUAAGAACUAAAGUGCAACUUUGGCCGAAAGUUUGGAAAGUAGUGGUUAUAUUUUAUUUAUUUGUUUUUUAUUUUUUACCUUUCCGUUACGCGGUAUUGUGGUUAGGAUAUGCAUGCUUAUCUUUUUAUAAUAUAUAUAUAGAGAGAGAGAAUAGAGCUACUAUGUGUUGAUACCAAAAUUGAGCCGACCUAACCCACGUAUGAGCCAAUAAAGACACGUGGUGCACCAGGAGUCGGCAAUAAGGCGCUUGAAGGACAAAAAGGCGGAAACGGUUGAAGAUUGGGGCGUAACUUCCAUGAGGAGUUAGCGUAACUUCCAUGAGGAGUUAGUAUAACUUCCACGAUCAUGGUUACAACCACUCUCCCCAACCUCUUUCAACCAACUAAUAAUGUGGGCUAUAAAUAGUAAUUUUGAAGCCUGCAAUCGGGGUUUUCGCCCCUGCGCACAAAAGACCACCCUUAUUUCCUCUGCAUUUUAUCGCUUUUCUAGGAGUAGUCUAAAUGUAAUCUUUUUCUUUUUCGCAUUUACUGCUUUCCUAGGAGUAGUUCUUGUAACUUAGAUUUUUGGAGUCUGUCUGUCCCAUGGGCAUCACUCCCUUCUAGAAUAUAUUUGGAGUCUGUCUGCCCUACGGGCAUCACUCCCUUGUAGAAUAUACUUGGAGUCUGUCUGCCCCACGGGCAUCACUCCCCUGUUCCUGUACUCUUUCCGUUUGCUAAUCAAUAGAAAGUCAUUUUCGGCUCUUCCUGCCGAUCAGAUCUUAAGUUGUUUAGCCAUUCGGCUCAUCUUUCAGUCGAAAUCUGGGUUUCCCUUCUCCAUUCGGCUCAUCCUGCUGAAGCGUAUUUAUUGCGGAGGAUUUUGAACCCGGCUGAUCCGAUCCCUCAUCGGCCUAAUCGCUUGAUCCUCUGUGGGCGCAUACUUCGAGGGUCAUAAUUUGCGGCCGUCUAGCAUCCCAACGAUCUUCCCAAGGAGAAUUAUUGACCGGGUCAAGGGUCGGGACGUUCGGCACGCAACACUAUGCUAUCGGAAAUAUAGAGGAUUUGAUACUUUCGAUUUUUUGGCCCUUAGAUCAACCAUUAUGAUAAUUUCUAAUUAAUCUUUGGAUUAAUACUAUUACUCGUUGGAGAUUACUCAAUCCUAGGGUUACUACUCAAUCCUAACUAGGGGGACCGCAAUCAUUCCAACCGUAGAAUUCUUGAUCCAAUGGUCAAAAAGUCGGAUGCAUUAUAUAUAAGCAUACCUAAAAUGAACAUGCAUAAAUUAACGUUUAGACUUAUUUGAAAGGAGUCCAGUUACUAUGCUUUUAGAAUGACAGAGGUCUCCAUCAUUUUUAAGUCAUUUUAGAUGAUAGAGAUCCUGAAUCGAUGAGCCGUUAAAAUUGAUCUAGAGUAUUUAUAACGCCUAGAAACUAAAUUUUAUAAAUUUUAAAAUUUGUUAUCAAGUUCAUUAAAGAGCAGAAAAAUAUAUGGUUAAAAACGAAUAACCUAGUGGAAAUAGAUAUUAGACUUUUUCAAUUCGUAAUCGGAGUUAUUGAAUAUUAUCUAAAUAGUACAGAUUUUUUUUUUUAUCAAACUGUUUGGACUGUUCUACACUGUUAAACAAACAAACGGCUUAUAUAGGCAGUCAAGAACUGUCGAUUUUGUGAUCCUUUGAUCACUACGUAAAUAAUUUUUAAAAUUAAUAAAAUUUAGUUUCUAAACACUUUAAAUACUCUAUAUCAACUUUAACGAUUCCGAUUAUUGAUUCGAAAUUUUUAUCAUCUAAAAUUAUUUAAGAGGACGAAAACCUCCAUACGUCCUAAAAGGAUAGCAGGAUUCAUUUAUAAGAGUUUUUUUUUUUGCACUUAAUUUAUAGGUCGCAUUUAUCCUUUUGCAUUAAAAAUUACAUCAAUCGCCUUCAUGCGCUUUAUCAUUGUUUGGAAAGGUCUAAAAUUUUUAAAUAAUUAGUGAAUUGUAUUAUAAACUCUAUUUGCUUAAAUAAUAAGUUACGAUGCCUGUUUUUUUUCUUGAAAAAUACAUAUCCCUACACUUAUACAUAAGUGUAAAUCUUAUAUCUCCAUCAGUUCAGAGUUCACAAAAAUUCAAAUAAAUUUUUAAUUAAAAAUAAAAAGAGUUCAUAAGACUAGUGCUGAAAAAUAAAAACAAGAAAAGAUUGAUGUGACAAGUAAGAAUUAAUAAUUUUUUUAGAUAAAGUGAGUGUAAGAUGUACACUUUAUUAUGGAGUGUUUCAGUAGUAUUGCUCUUAUUGUAUUGAUGUGAAUGCUCUAUUACAGUUUUCAGAUACCUGCCGGGUUUCCACGACGUUGUGGUCGUCGACGCAGACGGCUACAACAAGUGCCAGACGACGCCGGGCUCGAAGGUCUAUUUCUCGGGCAACGACACGAUAACAUUACUGGAGGGCGAUAACUACUUCAUUUGCAGCUUCCCUGACCAUUGCACGAUCAUGAACAUGAAGAUAGCAGUUCAUGCAGCUUAAUGAAUGAAUGAAUGAAUGAAUGAAUGUGUGAGUGAAAAAUAAAGAUUUAUAUGUUAAUAAAUUAAUUAUAUGGUUGAAAUAGUAAUCUUUGUUGUCCGAGGAUAUAUGAUUGAGAUUUAAGUGUUAUGUUUGAUUUGUUGUGGAAUUGGAGAAAUUAAUGCAUGGCAAGUUAAUGAAUAUCUACUAUUAUGUGGGGUAAAUGUAUAUAUUUUGCACAUCUUUAGUUUUAGGCUAAAAUACAAAAAAAUCUCUUGUAAAUAUUCGCUUUUUCAUUUUUUACUUUUUGACAUCUAGCNUUAUAAAAAAGUAAAGAUAAUUUGGUUAUUUGUCCUCUGUAUUAACGCUAUAACCCCCUCAAAAAAAUUUUGAAAUUUAAAAAAAACAAAAUGUAUAUAUUUUGCACAUCUUUAGUUUUAGGCUAAAAUACAAAAAAAUCUCUUGUAAAUAUUCGCUUUUUCAUUUUUUACUUUUUGACAUCUAGCAACCUACAUUUUGUUUUUUUUAAAUUUCAAAAUUUUUUUGAGGGGGUUAUAGCGUUAAUACAGAGGACAAAUAACCAAAUUAUCUUUACUUUUUUAUAAAUUUUUUUUAAUAUAUUUAUGUUGUUUUGAAGGAUAUUUUAGGUAUAAAUUAUAAGAAAUAGACGGAAUAGUGAUGGAACCCAGACGGAGCUGAGUAAAAUGUAAUGACUUGAAACAUUGAGACCGUAAAAUAGAGUUGAGCUGGAAUACUAUCGGUCGCAAACGGGCUCCGUUGCCAUCCAUUUGUUUUCGAUGAUGGACUCUUCAAAUCGAUGAUCGGUACCGUUGAAAAUGAUCUAUACCACUUAAACUAUCUAGAAAUCAAAUUUCAUACUUUUUCGAUAUUGUUCUCUUGUUCAUGAAGUGGGCGUAAAAAUAAACGGCUGAAAAUAAAUAUCUUCUAAAAAGUGAUGAUAGGAAUUUUGUAAUCAAGAUCAAGAGUAUAGAUCUUGUUCUAAACAGUUUAAAAAAUUUUCUAACAAAAAUUUAAUUGAUUUGGAUAUUUUUACGCCGUUAAACGAGAAAACGCCUUAUAUCGACCCUUAAAAUUACAAAUUUUGAAACCUUUUGAUUAUUAGGCAAAUGAUGUCGAAAAGAUUUGAAAUUUGAUUUCUAAACACUUCAAGUGGUAUAGAUCAUGUUCAAUGAUGUCGAUCGUCAAUUUGGAGGCUCCAUCAUCGAAAAUAAAUGGAUAGCAAAAGAGUCCGUUUGCUACUGAUAGCAUUCCAGCUCAACUCCCGUAAAAUAUAGAUUUUUAAAAGUUAGUGAGAAAAAAUAAAAAAAUAGAUAUUUAUGCGAAAAUUUUCUAUAAUUUAGCCUUAAUUUUAUUUAAAAUUAAAUGCAUUGGCGCAAAAAGUUUUAUAAUAAAGUCAAUAUAUAAUGAAAAAUAAAUAUAAAAAAUAAAGAUAUUAAUAUACUAAUUAUAUUUUUAUGUACUAUAAUAAUUCAAAACAGUAACUAUUUACAAACAAAAAGAAUAAAUUCAUUAUUAAUAAAAAGUAGAGGAAGGUCCGUACACAUACGAAAUACUUUGCAAUGCAAUUAAAAGAAUUGGCUGAAAAGAUAUUUAGUGAGUACUUUAAGUAGGAUUGGAUUGGACAUUUUUAGAGUUUUAAUAAUGUAUUAAUUAGGUAAAAAAUAUUUUUUAAAAAAGGUAAAAAUAUGGGAUAAAAAGAAUUUAGGAUUUUUUUUUUUUUUAAACAGUGUGGGUUCGAUAUGACCCGUUAUUGAUUUGAAGUGACUAAUAUCAGCUAAAUAGUUAAGAAACAAUUAAUGCAGCUAACACCAGCAACAUAAUUGACUCCUCUUAUUAGUGCCAAAAAUCAUCCUUGUGGAUAAAAUUAAUUAACAACUGUAAUUACACUUAAUAUUAAGCAACUACAUUAUCAAUUAAGAUCGAAUUUUGAAGGCAAAAAGUUUCUUCUAUAUUGCUGGUGUGGGUCCUUUGCUAUUUUUUGAUUUAUUAUGCUGGUGUUAGUUACUUAAUUAUAAUUAAUUGACGGAAUAUAGAACUAGAUGGUUAAUUAUAAUUAUAAUACAAAGAAAUUCAGUUUACUAUGCUGAAUUUUAUUUAAAUAGACUACAAUAUAGGUGAAUUUAGCACAAAAUAUUUUGGAUGCGUUUGGAUGGCUAAAUGAUAGUCUAGGGUCAAAUUUGGAUGAAAAUAGAUAGAAAAUAGAACAGGUUUUUGGAAACUACAAUUUCAGAGUCCAGACCCUACAUGGGAAGUCCAGACCUUGAACAGUUUUCGUGCAGCAUAAUGUUCAGGAUUCAGGCCUUGGGAAGGAAGUUUGGAUGGCGUAAAGUCUGGAGGACCCUGGAAAAUAAGUUCGGAUCUUGGCUGGGAAAUGCUCUGGAGGACCUUUGAAUUCAAAAUUCUUGGGGGAAGUCUGAACUCUCAGCUAUGAGAAGCUGAGUAUUAUGGGAGGGGGAUAUUUUAUGUCAAAUACUGGAACGACUCUUGGAUUAAGUUGUAAUUGUUACAACUACUCUUUAUAUACGGGACCGUCUCAUGAGAGAAUUUAGCCCUAAUCCCUUUUCCCUUUCACUCUUUUACUCUCUCCUCCCCAUCUAAUCCUCUCUCACUCUCUCCUCACUAGCUCCCCCUCCUACUUUUGAAGGAAGCAUAUGAAAGCCAAAUUCUUGCCUCAUUGGGAUGUGUAGGUGAGAGUAGAAGCUUCAAGAGAAGGAAACGAUAACCUCGGCCCAGGCGAGUUUUUCUUGGAGAAAAAGGAAAACUUUGUGAAUAAAGGUGACGACCAAGGAGCCGAUGAUGGGUACUCAGUUCGAAAUGGUCCUGCUCCACAUUUUGGGUUUUCUGUUCCUAUUAUUCUCUCUAUUCACUCUCGACAUGGCCGUGGUGCUCCUGAUAUAUAUUUGUAUGAGGAUAGAAUAGAUAUUGCAUUUCAAUUGUUAACUAAUAUGCCUAUCAUUGACACUAUACUUACUGAUAUUCACAAUUCAAUGUCUUUAUAUUAUACUUGAUCGUCUGUAGAGGCACUUGACAUACGAGGAUUAAACUUAGCCUUAUAAGGCCAACCAUUAUUGAGAACUCAAGAAGUAAACUUGCCUUGUAGAGGCACGUAUGAUUGAUAUUAGACUCAUUCUAGUUAGGAUCUUCUUAUGUGGAUUGUAUUAGUAGUAGUAGACAUCACCUUAUAUGGGCAUCAAGGCUUGACAUUGUCUUGUAGGGGCAUUGUGUCAUGCCUCGGGAUUGACAUCGGCAUUUCAGCACGAGCCUAAUCUCAACCCCUACACCAGUCUAAAUAUUCACGACGCACUAACAACGGUGAUACAAAGGAGAAAUCAGCUCCCAAAGUUAAAUUUGUUAACUUUUCGAAAAGUGACAUGUGUAGAUUUAAUAAGUUUUCUCCUAAGUCAAAUUUUAGUUCAACAUAUAAAACUUAUCUAAAAUCAUUAGACUAUACUUCAAAUUCAGAUUUCAUAUGAAAACAUACAAAUCCAUGAAUUCGAGCUACUAACAAGAUGAUAGAACCCAAAUAAAAGUAUGCUGAAAUUCUCUACAACUUAUGAGGAAUUCCGAAGUAUUCAGUCGACAUUAACCCACCUUAAACAUGAGUCCAACGAUGGCAAGAAGUCGAUAGGAGAGCUUAAGGAUCACUCCCAACUCAAAAUCGCAGUCAAUACCCAAGACCACAGGAUUCGGGCCCUCUAGUCGAGAGUUAUGGGUGCCCAGAUGCAGAGCCCAGAACAGUAGCCUGGCAACUUCAACCUACAGGGGUUCAACAUGGAAUUUAACCCAAAUUUUCAGAUACAAAUGCAGUGAAACUUCACCCAACUCACCUCAAAAGGUUAGAGAAUAAUUCCCCAGCUUCCUUACCAAAAUUGAGCUCAAAUCAAUCACCAAAAAGCCGUCACAAGGAUUCGGACCCAACUUUUGGAUGCCGAGAACCUGCAUCUAGAAGUUCAGCACAAGAGUAAAUUAUGCAACUCGGCUCAAUUUUGGAAUUUCCAACUUGAAGCUCCAAUAAGGUUGGGUCCAAACCUUUUACAAGUGAGGGAAAAACACCUCCAAGAAUUAGCUCUUUACAAAGAUCUAGAUAUACAACAUUCAAAAAUCUCCAUUAACAUUCAAAAAUAUUGCACUUAUAGCUCAAUUCACCAAAAUCUGAACUAAACUUACCUUGAGGUCUGUAUUCAGGUGGGGAAUCCCUUCUAAACUAGUGGGGGAUGAUGGAAAACCAAAUCCAACUUCAAAAAUAUAGCUUCCAAGACAUUCGGAUCUAAGAAAAUUAAGAAAACUUCAAUUUCAGCUCAAAAAUACUAAAAUCCUAGGAAAAAUAGUAAUUCAAGCUUACAUACCUAAUUAAAUUGCUGUUGGAAUGGUUCAACACACUCCCCCUUAAGUCCACAACCCACGAAAUCAAGUUUCACUGCAAUUGGAUGCCUCUAUGCUGCACACGAGCUGAAGAUCCCAAGGUUGUUGCUGGAUUUCUCUAGAAUUUCUAAGUCCUCAAUGGUAAAAAGUGAAAUUUGAGGGAUUUGGAUUGGGGUUUCAUGCAAAAUCCAGAGCUCCCUGUGAAGAAGAGGAGAAAAGAGUUCAAGGAGAACGUCCAAUUGCUUUUAUAGAGGUGUUGGUUAGGUACAAUAAGACUCAAGAACAAUGAAUGCAAACCUGUUACUCUAUUGUAAUCUCAAGAUUUGGCCGCCCUAAACUGAGAACUGGGCACCCAGAUUCUCCAACCUGCACAAUUCAGCACUUCGGGUUUUCAGCACGGCGCUUCGGUAUGCCGCUAUCCAGUUCCGGCGGGUCUCACCUACCAAGGCCAUGCGUCAACACGUUCAAUAUUCACGAGGUGAACAUUCGGACCCACUGUUGAACGCUCUAAACUGGAUCCAAAACGACUGAACUAAUGCAUAUAUAUACAAUACAACACUCUGAAUCUGGGCGCCCUAAAUCACUUCUGGGCGCCUAAACUGUCAGAACUUCAGUUUUGGCUUAAUUGAGUGCGCCGAGUCUAGUUUUGCGACCAUUUUACGCCAAAACAAUUCCGACUCAUCUCGAUACUACACAGAUGUGUCGAGUGGCCACUGAUAUUGUUGUCAUUCUGAUAGUUACGCCCAAGGGGCACUACAAGUACGGCUUGAGGACGCUUUCUAGGGAUGCUUGGAGAUGCUUUUCCCAAGCGCCAUCCAAUUAAAAGACAUCCUUAUUAUAAUGAGAUGUCCUUUUAGUGUGUUUGGCGAAUAAAUGAAAAUACUUUAGUAACUUAUGUUGGAAAUUUAUAUGUCAAUAGUAUUUUGUGAAACAAUAAAUGAGAUAGUAGAGAUUUGGUAUAAACUAGCGAAAAAAUGUUCAAACAUUCUAUGGACUUUAGAACUUUGUUAAACUUUUAAUUUAACAAUUAUACUCUGCUAAUUAAACUUCAUCAAGUUAAUUAGUCAAGUCAUCAUUUCUAACUCUUAAACAAAGUUACUAACUAAACAUUUAGUGAAAAAGUAUCGAGCAAUUAAUACACAUUUUACAUUUAUUUACUUUCAUACUAAGACUGAAAUUUAAAAUUAGGUAACACAGUAAAUUAAAUACAUGGGGAUGCAUGGUUAUGCUAUAUAUUCAUAGAUAAAAUUGUAUAUUUAUAAUAACGACAGGGAGAUAACAAACAAUUACAAACCAUUUUAAAUAGGCCAAGUGUUUUUGCAGUGUGAAAAACUCAAUACAUUUAUUGCAAAGAUAUUCUCACUAAAUUAAAAGGGAGAAUCAACCAAAUCUCUUGGUACAUUAAUUAUUACUCACAUGCACCCAAAUGCACUUUAAAAGUAUUUGGUAGAUUUAUAGGAGUUUGGUGGUUGUUCGACGUGGACCAGAGUAGCAUUUUUGGCCUUCAAAAUAUUUUCUUCCGAAUAAAUAAAUUAAUUCGUAGAAAACUUAUGUCAUCUCUUAACAAAUCAUAGAUAGAAAGAUCUUUCAAGAGCAAAAGUUAAACUUCUAUCUUUUAAUCACGCAACAAAUUUUUAUUCUGAAUAAAAUAUUCUUACGUAACGCAAUUAUUUAGACAUUCAGAUAAGGCCUUUAAAAGGGGCAAAAAUUUUCUGGGCAUCGCCCCCAAACAAGUUGUUUAGGGACGAUGCCGUGGCGCCCAUCGCGACCCUCGGAAACCCAAAAAAAAUUUAAAAAAAAAUUAUGAACUCCAUUUUUUAGAGAGAGAGAGAGAGAGAGAGAAAAGUUGGAGGAGGGGAGAGAAGGGCGAGGAUGGGCAUCCUCCCCAAACUUUUAGUUUGGGGAGAAUGCCCAUACAAUUUUUGCCCCUUUAAAAGUACAUAGCAUUUAAUAGACGAGGAACGCGUUAAAAUGUUAAAAAUGAAUACCUUAUUCGGCUUUUAAAUUAUUUUUCUUUUUUUGUGACAACUCACAUGAUCAGUGACAUAUGGUAUCCUGCCCAAUUAUAUAUGUCAAGACUUUUUGUGGAGUAAAAAUCAAACUCAUUACUCCUAAUUAUAUUUAUAAAAAAAAAUCUUUAUUACAAAUUAAUGAGUUAUCUCAGGAAAACUUAUUCAGGCAUCCAAUUAAGGCACAGAUUUAUGUGGAUUAAAGUUAAUUCAAAAGUAGAUAAUCUAGUGAAAUGAUAAUUUUAUCCCAACCAUAUUUCAUAUUAUUUAACCCCUUAUUUAGUGCAUACUUAGUUAUUUAAUAGUUUAUGGUGUGAUUUUCUUAAUUUCUUGCCAAGUAAAUGGUCUAUUACAUCAUCUUUUAAUUCUUGUUUUAAACAAAUCUAAAAAAGGGUAAAAACUGCUCACUUUAGAUGAUUUUACCUGCCUAAUUCCUUUAUUAGGGGCUGUUUGGUUGCAUGUAGUUACAAUUACACUGUAAUUAUAACUGCAUGUAAAUAAAAAUUAGGUAUUUAAUUUGAUGUAUUUAAUUUCAAUUACUGUAGUAGGAACUACAGGAGGAGACCCAACUGCUAUAGUUGGAGAUAGUAACUUUAAGCAAAAGUUAAUUAAGCUUACAUAGUUAAUUAUUUUUUAAACAAAAAAUAUUUUUCUUUUCUAUAUUGGAGGUAAUCUUACCAUCAAAUAUAUAAAAAUGAUAACAUUUUAAAAUUCAUUUCCCAACUGCAUGCAACCAAACAAAUUAUUUAUAGUUACAACGCUUUCUACUACAUCAAACCAUACAGGAUACAUCCAGUUACAACUGUUGUAUUUCCAACUGAAUUUGUAAUAACAUCUAACCAAACAGCCUCUUAAAAAAUUUUCCAUAUUUGCAGGAGUUUACAUACGCAAGAAAAUGUUUCUUUAUUAUUAAGAAGCCGUCACAGAUAUCUUCAUGCCGGACUUGCAGUGGUCAGCGUAGCUGCAGAUGAAAUAAUUGGUCCCCCUGCCGAGGGUGAUGCGGUCGCUGCCGGACGUGAACACCCUCGCCCCCGUCGGAAUCGCGCAGCCGUUGUAGCCAUUGCCAUCGACGGCGACCACGUUUUGCGACAUUGGGUUGUAGUUAAAUACUGCAAUUUUGUGCCAAAAUCCAAAAAAAAAAAAAAAAAUCAGAUUGCAAGAUCUAUACUCUGGAUCUUGAUUAUAAUGAUCCUAUCGUCACUUUUUGAAUAAUAUUUACUUUAGCUGUUUAUUUUGUGUCACUUGAUGCACAAAAAAAUAAUAUUGAAAAAAUAUAAAAUGUAGAUUNGAGUAAUCUUUUAUUUUUGGUUGGAUUGGGCUUUAUAUUUAGGCAUUAGUAGAUAUUUUUUUAAGUUUUAGCAUAAAUAAGACACUUACUCAAAAGUGUCCCAAGCAUGUGUCCUUAUAACCUAAUUCUAUUGUAGUGAAUGAGUUAUCUCAGGAAAACUUAUUCAGGCAUCCAAUUAAGGCACAGAUUUAUGUGGAUUAAAGUUAAUUCAAAAGUAGAUAAUCUAGUGAAAUGAUAAUUUUAUCCCAACCAUAUUCCAUAUUAUUUAACCCCUUAUUUAGUGCAUACUUAGUUAUUUAAUAGUUUAUGGUGUGAUUUUCUUAAUUUCUUGCCAAGUAAAUGGUCUAUUACAUCAUCUUUUAAUUCUUGUUUUAAACAAAUCUAAAAAAGAGUAAAAACUGCUCACUUUAGAUGAUUUUACCUGCCUAAUUCCUUUAUUAGGGACUGUUUGGUUGCAUGUAGUUACAAUUACACUGUAAUUAUAACUGCAUGUAAAUAAAAAUUAGGUAUUUAAUUUGAUGUAUUUAAUUUCAAUUACUAUAGUAGGAACUACAGGAGGAGACCCAACUGCUAUAGUUGGAGAUAGUAACUUUAAGCACAAGUUAAUUAAGCUUACAUCGUUAAUUAAUUUUUAAACAAAAAAUAUUUUUCUUUUCUAUAUUGGAGGUAAUCUUAAUUACCAUCAAAUAUAUAAAAUGAUAACAUUUUAAAAUUCAUUUCCCAACUGCAUGCAACCAAACAAAUUAUUUAUAGUUACAACGCUUUCUACUAUAUCAAACCAGAUAGGAUACAUACAGUUACAACUACUGUAUUUUUAACUGUAUGCAUUUUGAACUAUACUGCACUUGUAAUAACAUCUAACCAAACAGCCCCUUAAGAAAUUUUACAUAUUUGCGGGAGUUUUCAUACGCAAGAAAAUGUUUCUUUAUUAUUAAGAAGCCGUCACAGAUAUCUUCAUGCCGGACUUGCAGUGGUCAGCGUAGCUGCAGAUGAAAUAAUUGGUCCCUCUGCCGAGGGUGAUGCGGUCGCUGCCGGACGUGAACACCCUCGCCCCCGUCGGAAUCGCGCAGCCAUUGUAGCCAUUGCCAUCGACGGCGACCACGUUGUGCGACAACGGGUUGUAGUUAAAUACUGCAAUUUUGUGCCAAAAUCCAAAAUAAAAAAAAAAAUCAGAUCGCAAGAUCUAUACUCUGGAUCUUGAUUAUAAUGAUCCUAUUGUCACUUUUUGAAUAAUAUUUACUUUAGCCGUUCAUUUUGUGUCACUUGAUGCACAAAAAAAUAAUAUUGAAAAAAUAUAGAAUAUAGAUUUUAUUAUUUGUUUAAGACUUAGUUACGCGAAAGCAAAUACUCAAAAAUACAAAUACAGCACUAAAAGUUGGUAUUUGUAUGCAUAAUUCUGAAUAAUCGUUCUUAUUUAUCAACGCACCCUUGAAAAUAUAGGCAUUUAAAUAGAAAAAAAAAUGUAAAUUAAUUAUCAAGAUGUGAAAAAGAGAACCUGGAUUAUUUACGUACAAGCCCUUACAAUAUUAAGGCGCUUAUAAAAGAGGAAAUUCUUUUAAAUAUUCGGGUAGAUGCUGAUUAGUAUUAAAUCUCUGGUCCUUUAGUUUGAAUUGGUAGUUGAUAAAAUUAAAGCAAAUUUUAGUUUUGAACAAUAUAUAUGUUUCCUCUUCAUUUGCUUAUUCAUGCAUAUCAAUAUAGAAAUAUGAACUUAAACGGUAAUGAUGAUUUUCAUGUACACGUACGUAUGAAAGUAAUAAUUUUGUGAUUUGUAGGCAGGGACGAAGCCAGAAAUUAAGAUUCGGAGGGGCCCGAGAUUUAAGUUCAGCAAAAAAAAAAAAAAUCAACCUCGAAUAAUAAGAAAAGGAGUUUAUCAGGUUCACUGGUCAUCUAUUGCUAGCGACAACAGCAACAAUAUACUCAAGAAGGAGUUAGAUUAUAAGAGCGGAAGGAAAAUGACCGAGGAGUUCGAAAACAGAUUGAUGGGGACUAUGGCCACCGUGAGCCUCAUUAUGGCUCCGUUUCUGUUGUAGGUACGGACAAAUAUAUGUAGAAAAAAAGAUACCGAGGAUGUCGCCAGCGCGGAAGGUCUUUCCGUUGGGCCAGUUGACGGCGUUGAAGGUCCAGCCGCUGCCGUCGCCCACCGAGUAAGUGGCGGCGCCGACGAUAGGCGCCGUCAUUUGGAUCAUGAGGAGGAAGAAGAGAAGGCCCAGCCCAAGAACUAGGGUUGCACUGCCCCUUCCCUGUGCCAUUCUCACUACAACAAAAUUAGGUUAUAGGGACACAUGUUUUGGACACUUUUGAGUAAGUGUCUCAUUUAUGCUAAAACUUAAGAAUACAUCUACUAAUGCCUAAAUAUAAAGCCCAAUCCAACCAAAAAUAAAAGAUUAUUCUACUCAACCCAUCACACCCAGUCCAUUUGGCUCGAUUACAAACAGAAAAGAAAAAAAAAGAAAAAAUCAAUUACCAUCUUUUCUUCUCUUUUCACUCAAUCUACUGAAAUUCUAGACGAAAAGCCUUUACUGUCGUCCUCCUCCGCCACCGCAGCCAACGAGAUAGAGUUUCGGCGGUUGCUAAAUGCUUAAAUAAAUGUUGGUAAAUUAGCAGCACUCUUUUAGGUUAUAGUGACACUCUUUAAUUGUCACUAUAUACCUAGCGACCCCACAUAUAGCAACACUUUUUAAAAGUGUCGGUAAUUUUAGCUAGUAGCACUUUUUUGACAUGUACCUACAUUUAAAAGUGUCGCUAUAAACCGUUUUUGUUGUAGUGUCUAUGCAAGAGAUAGAGAGAGAGAGAGAGUAUUAAUGAAAAAAAAGUAAACUUCAAAUACCCUUUAUGGUUUCACACUUUCUCAUUUUAGUAACAUGUGGUUUAAAAUGUAUCAAGUUAGCCCAUGUGGUUUCACACUUUCUCACUUUAGUACCCUGUGGCUUAAAGUGUAUCAAGUUAAUACCCUUUGAUUUCAUUUGUCAUUUUUUAUUAUCCAUUUCUAUAAUUUUUUUCAUUAAAUCAGUGACAAAGUUAAAAUUAAAGGGUAGUAAAGUAAAUAUUCGAUAAACCUAGGUAGUGUAUUUGAAGUUUUUUAUAUAUAAUUUAAUGAAAUAUUAACGGAGAAAAAAAAAUCAGUGACAAAGUUAAAACUAAAGGGUACUAAAAUAAAUAUUCGAUAAACCUAAGUAGGGUAUUUAAAGUUUUUUGUAUAUAAUUUAUAAAAUAUUAACAGAGAAGCCGACGAAAAGAUAAAAAUGAAACUACAUAGUACUAAAUUGAUGUACUUUAAACCACAGGAUAUUAAAGUGAGAAAGUACGAAACCACAGGGUACUAAAUUGAUAUACUUUAAACUACAGGGUGCUAAAGUGAAAAAGUGCGAAACCACAGGGGUGAUAUUUGAAGUUUUCCCUAAUGAAAAUUAUGAUUGUGGAGAUUAAUUCCUGAUAAUAAGUGUGAAAUGUUGGUUUAUAAAGGCAAUUAAGCCAUCAUAAGGGAGAAAGAUUAAUACAUUCACAAUGCCAAUUCAAAAAUAUAAAAAUACUUUUCUUUUCAUAAAAUUAAGGCUAAAUUAUAGAAAACUCUUUUAUAAAUAUCGGUUUUUUCACUUCCCUCCCUAAUUUUCAAAAAUUUACAUUUUACUCCCUCAAUAUUUUAAGUUAUUGCAUUUAGCUCCCUCUUCGCUAGAGUUUUAUCACUAUUCUAUCUAUUUCUUAUAAUUUAUACUGAAAAUUUGAUCAAUUUAUUUUUUUCUCAUAGAAGAAAUAAGGACAAUUUGAUCAUUUGCCCUCUCCAUUAAUGUUGUAUCCUUCCAAAAAUAUUUCUGCAAUUUUAAGAGGGGUAAAAAUAUAGUUUUUUGAAGUUAGGAACAAAAAGUGAAAUAUUUACAUGAAGAUUUUCUGUAAUAAACAAAACUUCUUUCAAAAUAUUGUCUUAAAAAAGAUUAAAUAGACGAAAAAUAUUUUUUGCCAAAAAUUAUUUUUUAAAAUAUUUUCAGCAGUGAACCAAACACCCUUCCAUAGACAAUAAUAAUAACUAGCGUAGUAACCCGUGCGAUGCGAAAAGUAGAUAAUUGAAAAAAAAUAAAAAACGUUGAAAAAAGAAAAGAGAAAACAACAAUGAAAAACAAUAAUAAGGGAUGAGAUUUAUCUUGCUGAUGAACGAAGAUAACAGUCGAAGGAAGAGGAAGAGGAAGCGGAAGGACUUGAGCUGAUUCGAGAUGGAAAAUCACACUCAACCACGAAGGAAAAAUUAUCGAUCAUAUGGCAAUUAAUUUUAGGAGAAAUAAUGUAUAGUUAUAAAUAAUUGAUUAAUAGUGGUGGCUUAAUUAUUAAAUAACUUGGGCUACAAAUUAUACAAAUGCGAUGAGUUGUUGAGGACAAAAGGAGAGACAAAAAUAUUGCUUAUAAUAAUGGAAGGAACAGGACAAGAAUCUCGUGACAAAACCAAAUUACGUACGGCGCAACGGCUACAUGCGUAUGUGUGAUUCUAUAUGGAUUCGUCCUGUAUUAGGAUAUCAAUGGGUCGAUUCGGAUUGGAUACGGGACAGAUUUUUCAAAAUUUAAAUUCAAAUUCGAUCACCAAAUUCAAAAUUUGAAUCGAAAUUCAGAUCAGAAUUCGACGGAUUUUAAAAUUUUAUAUCCAAACAAGAACUCGAUCGAAGGUAAUUAAUCUGAAUCCUAAACAAUUAUUUUUCUUUACCGUACUUUCAAAUAUAUUACAUUAAUCGAAUAUAUAUAUAUAUAUAUAGAGAGAGAGAGAGAGAGAGAGAGAGAGAGAGAGAGAGAGAGAGAGAGAGAGUCCGGCUACUAUAUUCUUAUGAGUACGAUUGCGCUCGUACUCAUAAGUUAUUUUCGAUGAUAGAGCUUCCGAAUCGACGAUCCACACCGUUAAACAUUAUCUAGAACAUUUAAAACAUGUAGAAAUCAAAUUUUAUAAUUUUUUGACAUUAUUUACCUUAUGGUCAAAAGGUCAAAAAAUUGACAAUUUUUAACGACCGAUAUGGAAUAUUUGCUAGUUUAACGGUGUAAAAGAAUUGAAAUCAGUUGAAUUUUUGAUAGAAAAUUCUAUUCACUACAUAGAUAAAAAUCAAUAACUCCGAUCUUAAAUUGAAGGAUCUGAUCAUUUAUUUUUAAGACGUUGUUUGAUUUUGAUCGUUUAUUUUAUACCCACUUGAUGAACUUUAUUAUGAUUUCAAAACAUUACGAAAUUUAUUUUUUAAAGAUUCAAAUACUCUAGAUCAUAUUUAACCGAGUGGAUUGUCGAUUCGGAAGCUCGAUAAUUGAGAACAACUUACGAGUAUGAAGGGCUCUAUACUGAUAAGAGUAUAGUAGCCCUAGCCACAUAUAUAUAUAUAUAUAUAUAUAUAUAUAUAUAUAUAUAUAUAUAUAUAUAUAUAUAUAUAUAUAUAUAUAUAUAUACAGUUUACGUAUCAUUUGACAUCAUAUUACGUUAAAUUUGUACACUCUUUUAAUGUCAUUUAUUGCUCUUAUUUUAUUUGCACCAAAUUGAGAUUAAUACAAAAAUUGAGAUGAUGGAUAUUUAGUUGGAGAUGAUCACUCACCCAUUUAGGNAUAUAUAUAUAUAUAUAUAUAUAUAUAUAUAUAUAUAUAUAUAUAUAUAGUCUGAUUGGGAUACUAUCGAUAGCACCAAACACUUGGUGCUAUCGAGUUUUCCGCCGUCAGAUUUAAUCCUUUGACUAUUUUUAUCCGUUAGAUUAUACUAUUCAACCAACGGCUCACUCAAUCCUAGGAGGCCCACAUCAUCCUAACUGUACAUUUCUUUAUCAAAGGGCCAAAAACUUAAUAGCACCAAGGGUAGGUGGUGAUAGAUGGAAUAGUAUUUCAUUCAAAGACUAUAAUUAGUUAAAGAGUAGAUUUAAGGGUUAGAAACCUAGAAGCACGAAGGGAUUGGUGCUUCUAGGUGUAUAUUCUAGCUCAACUCUCUCUCUCUCUCUCUCUCUCUCUCUCUCUCUCUAUAUAUAUAUAUAUAUAUAUAUAUAUAUAUAUAUAUAUAUAUAUAUAUAGAACUAGGCUGGGAUACUAUUAAUACCACAAAGUUAUUUGUGCUAUUAGUUUUUUAGCCCUUGGAUUGAGAAAUGUGUGGUUAGCAUGAUAUGAUAUGGGCCUCCUAGAGCUGAGUGGGUGGUUGGUUGAAUAGUACAAUCUAACGGGUAAAAAUAAUCAAAGGGUUAAAUCUAACGGUGAAAAACUCGAUAGCAAAGUCUUGGUGCUAUCGAUAGUAUCCCAGCCGGACUCUAUAUAUAUAUAUGUUAGGGCUACUAUACUCUUAUUAGUAUAGAGCCCUUUAUACUCAUAAGUUUUCGGCCAUUAGAUGAAGAGAUGUGCGGUUAGGAUAAUACUGGUACUCGGUUAGGAUGAUAGUGGUCCUUUAGGAUUGGAUGAGUGGUUGGUUUAAUAGUAUGAUGUAACGGAUGAAAAUAAUUAAAGCGGUAGAUUUAACAAUUGAAAACUUAUGAGUAAAAUGUGGUCUAUACACAUGUAAAGUAGCCGAAAUCUAUAUAUACAAAGAGCUAAGCUAGUAUACUAUCGCCUAUCGGUAGCACGGAGGCCUCCGCGCUACCAAAUUUUUUUUAAUGAUGUGCCUUCCAAAUCAACUAUCAGCUCUGUUAGACUUGAUCUAUAUUAUUAAAAAUAUUUAGAAACUAAAUUUUAUAAUUUUUCGACAUCAGUUGACUAGUGAUCAAAAGGUUUCAAAAUUGACAUUUUUAAAGGUCGAGGUGAUAUGUUUGUGAAUUUAACUGCGUAAAAGAAUCCAAAUCUAAUGAAAUUUUUAUAGAAAAUUCUUUUCACUAUUUAUAGUACGAUCGGUAUUUCUAAUCUUAAAUUCAAGUCUUUUAUCAUCAUUUUUUUAUGAGACUUCUAUUUUCAAUUGUUCAUUUUUAAACUACUGGUUUGAAAGAUAAAUGAUCUCAAAAAAUUAUAAAAUUUAGUUUCCAAAUACUUUCAAUAGUAUAGUUCAAGUCUCACGGAGACAAUUGUUAAUUUGGAAGCCGCAUCAUUGAAAACAAGUUGGUAGCACGAGAGCCUCUGUGCUACCGAUAGGCGAUAGUAUAUCAGCCGGACUCAUAUAUAUAUCUCCAUAUAAUUAUUAUUUACUGAGGAAUUUUUCGUAGGCAUAUAUAUGUAUAUUUAUAAAAAAGAAAAAAAAGAAGAAGCACAUGAAAUAACAAUGGUACAAAUAUAUUAUGCUUCCAGAAACAGUGACAAUAAAUCACAAUCACACACACANNNNNNNNNNNNNNNNNNNNNNNNNNNNNNNNNNNNNNNNNNNNNNNNNNNNNNNNNNNNNNNNNNNNNNNNNNNNNNNNNNNNNNNNNNNNNNNNNNNNNNNNNNNNNNNNNNNNNNNNNNNNNNNNNNNNNNNNNNNNNNNNNNNNNNNNNNNNNNNNNNNNNNNNNNNNNNNNNNNNNNNNNNNNNNNNNNNNNNNNNNNNNNNNNNNNNNNNNNNNNNNNNNNNNNNNNNNNNNNNNNNNNNNNNNNNNNNNNNNNNNNNNNNNNNNNNNNNNNNNNNNNNNNNNNNNNNNNNNNNNNNNNNNNNNNNNNNNNNNNNNNNNNNNNNNNNNNNNNNNNNNNNNNNNNNNNNNNNNNNNNNNNNNNNNNNNNNNNNNNNNNNNNNNNNNNNNNNNNNNNNNNNNNNNNNNNNNNNNNNNNNNNNNNNNNNNNNNNNNNNNNNNNNNNNNNNNNNNNNNNNNNNNNNNNNNNNNNNNNNNNNNNNNNNNNNNNNNNNNNNNNNNNNNNNNNNNNNNNNNNNNNNNNNNNNNNNNNNNNNNNNNNNNNNNNNNNNNNNNNNNNNNNUAACUAUAUAUAUAUAUAUAUAUAGUCCGGCUGCUAUACUAUCAGUAGCACGGAGACUUCCGUGCUACCAAGUUGUUUUCGAUGAUGCGGCUUCCAAAUCGACGAUCGGCUCCGUUAGACUUGAUCUACACUAUUAGAAGUAUUUGAAAACUAAAUUUCAGAAUUUUUCGACAUCAUUUAGCUAGUGAUCAAAAGGUCUUAAAAUUGAUAAUUUUAAUGAUAGAUGUGAUGCAUUUGUAAAUUUAACGAGGUAAAACAAUCCAAAUCAGAUGAAAUUUUUAUAGAAAAUUCUUUUUACUAUUUAGAGUAAGAUCAAUACCUCUGAUCUUAAAUUUAAGUCUUCUAUCAUCAUUUUUUAUGAGAUUUUUAUUUUCAGCCGUUCAUUUUUAGACUACUCGUUUGAUAGGUAAAUGAUAUCGAAAAAUUAUAAAAUUUAGUUCCAGAUACUUUCAAUAGUGUAGAUCAAGUCUAAAAGAGCCGAUCGUUGAUUUGGAGGCGACAUCUUUGAAAACAACUUGGUAGCACGAAGGUGUCCGUGCUACCGAUAGUAUAGCAGCCUAGCUCAUAUAUAUGUCAAAAUGGAUGGUGGAAAUUGAAUAAUAUUUAAAAUUUGAGUAUAGGACUUUUAAAUUCAAGAUCAAGAAUGUUAAUUUUAAUCUAGAUAGUUUAAAGUAUUUUAUAUCAAAAUUUGAAGAAAUUUAGAUUCUUCUACACCGUUAAACUCGAAACUCGCCAUAGUAGUCAUUGAAAAUUGAUAAUUUUGAAAUGAUUUGAUUAUAAAGUAAACUAUGUCGAAAAAAUAUAAAAUUUUAUUUCUAAAAAUUUUAAAUACCCUAAAUCAGUUUUAACGGUGUGGAUCGUUGAUUUGAACACCCUAAAAUCGAAAACGAAACUAUAGUACCGGAGCCCCGGUACAAUAAAUAGUAUAGGAGACUAGCUAUAUAUAUAUAUAUAUAUAUAUAUAUAUAGUCUAGCUAUGGUGCUUCUAAAAGCACCAAGCACUUUGUGCUUAUAAGUUUUUUACCGUUAGAUCUACUCCUCGGAUCAUCUUCAACCAUUAGAUUAUACUAUUCAACCAACCACCCACUCAACCCUAGGAGGCCCACAUCAUCCUAACCGCAUAUCUCUU